ACCAGAAGAAUAACAAAAAGCAAGAGGUACAGACCAAUGAGCAAGGCCAUCAGAAGAACUCAAGGCAAACUGGUGAUGGAAUGAAAGAGUUGAGAUCAUGGUGCAAUAUCUGUAAUGUAAGCUGCACAAGGGAGCUUGACCUGGCCUCUCAUCUCAAUGGAAGGAGGCACUUUGAUAGGAUAAAGCAGCUGUCUGAAUUAUGGUGCAGUAACUGCAAUGUAAGGUGCAACAGUGAGGUUGAUAUGGCCUCUCACCGAAAUGGGAGGAGGCACUUGGAGCAGCUGAAGGAACAGUUAGGAUUAUGGUGCAGUAUCUGUAGUGUGAGUUGCAACAGCAAGGUGGACAUGGAUUCUCACCUAAAUGGGAAGAGUCACUCGGAUCAGAUCAAGGACCAGUUAAGAUUAUGGUGUGGGGCAUGUAAUGUAACCUGCAAGAGUGAGCGCAACAUGGCCUUUCAUCUGAAUGGGAGGAAGCACUUAGAGAAGAAGGGGAAUACCUGAUUUGCUCUUCAGAUUAUUGAUACUUACAAAUGGUUUUAGUUAGAAGCAUACAGACCAGUGGGUGGUGCUCACAGAUGCCUCUAUUUUGUUGUAUGAAGUAAAAACAGUAUUUCCAUGUCCAGAAAUCAACCACUUGUUUAGUGCAUGCAUGGCUGGUUCAAAAUUAAACCUAAUUGUGAAUGACUAGGAGCAGGGAGGGAAAAAUUGAAGUGAAGAAUGUAAGAUUAUGGCUUCAUUUUUAUUUUUUCCUCUUCUGAAAAUUGUAAGAUUGUGUUAGGAGGAGCUGGAAUGGGUUCAAAUCAGGAAUUAAGACCCAGUUCCAAGACAUGGAAAGUGUCUUUAGAUUAUGUUAAGUUAUUUCCAUUUUUUUUUCUUUAUUUACGGUAAGAGGGAGCAUAAGGAACGAAAAUGAAUAUUUUUUUUUUUUCGAAUAAAAAUGAAUUUGAUAAUUUCAAUUAUUGUGUUUGGAUGUAUUUCGGAAUGUAAGAUUAAAAUAAUUAUUUGUUUUCAUUUUAGUGUUUGAUAAUAAUGAAAGUAUGAAUUAAAAAAUAAAUUGAUAAUAAUAUUCUUAUAUUUAAUUUAAAAUAUAUAUAUAUUUUUUAUUUUAGAAGAAUAUGGGUUAAAAGUUUUUUUUUUUUUUUAAAUAAUAAGCUUAAGAAAAAUAAUUUUUACUCAAUAAAUAAAAUUAAUCAUACAAAGUCAUAAAAACCAAACCAAAAUAUAAGGGUAAAAUAAUAAUUUUAAACUAUUCAUUUAAGUUAUCCAAAUGCAUUCCGACUCUUCAUUCUCUUAUACCAAAUACCGUCUUUAAGUAUUUGUCAAACUUAUUUUUUUGCAAAAUAUCAAUAUUUUACUAAUAUUUUUAUCGAUUAUUUGCCGAUAUUUAUCGCCACGUCACCAAUUCUUUGAGUUUGACUUUCAAAAUUUUGAAAUGAUCUUUGAAGUCCAGUUCAGCCCAAAUCACUACACCCAUGAACUCAUCUACAAAAGGGAACGGCUGGGCCACCACACUAAUAUGGCCCAUACAUGGGACCUCGUAAAAGAAUACCCAUCUUCAAAAAUAGGGACCAUAUUAAAUUAUUAAUGUAGCUAUAGGAAGCAUUUGAGGACAAGGGUUAUGAUUUUUCCCUUUUCUUUUUCUCCUUAAUUUUCACAUCACCCAACAACACCACUCUUAAUUCACACAAAUUUGAAGGUUUGGAAUGAGACUUCUUCAUAAUUAUAUUGUAAUUAUGUUAUAAUAACCAUGUCGUUUUUGGAUUUAUUUAUUCAGUCCAUCUAAAUCUUUUGUUUAUUCGCGUCAAAACAAUAUAUUUAUAAUCGAAUCCAUUUAUGACAUGUUCAUCUUUUAUAAAUUCAUUAAUUUUAUAUAUUUAAAAUUUAUAAAAGUUAAAUAUAUUUUUUCAAUUAUGAAUAUCAUAUUACUAAAAUAUUAAAUAACUAAUUAACUUGAAAUGUUUUAUAUUUCAUUAAUUAUUUUAUAAUUACAAAAUUAAGUGAAAUAAUAAAUAGGUUAAAAUAUAUAUUUUAUUUUAGUUAAAAAUUAUAAAUUGUUAUUGAGACACAUAACUACUAAAAUUCUACCCAUUUGACUAUCAAACAAACAACUUAAGUUUUUAGUCAUAAUUUAAGCUUAUGAUAAACUCUAUUUACAAAAAUUAGAAACCAAAAUCAAAUUCUUCCUAGACUCAAAAAUAUAAAGACAAUCUUUUAACUUUAGAAGAGAACUAUCAUCUAAGAUAAGGGUAACACAUCCCAUUGCCUGUACAACAAUUCUUGCUUCAAAAGCUAAUGUUAGGUACAUAUCCCUAUCAUUCAACCUUUCCCUUAGCUAAAACCCCUAUAAAGAAUUAUAAACAUGAUCAAUGGCUCCAAAAUUUAUCCACCAAGAGUUAGUGGAAUCUAAUACUAAACAUGAUUCAACUAAAAGAGAAUGAUGCAUACCUGACUGUCUCUUUAAGAACUAAGGGCAUUCCUUUUUCUAAUGGCCUUUUUUACCACAAAGGAAACAUUUGUCAUGACCCUUACUCUUCUUCUUCUUCUCUUGCCCUUGAACUUUCCCUUCUGUUUGGUGAAUUCUAUAAUGUUCUUAUUUUGGUUAGAAGAACCUAAAGAACACUUAACUGCCAUAUAAAUACCUCUCUGAUCCUUGAGAAUUCCCUCAAUCAUUUUGUGUUCUCUCAUCAGUUCGGUUAUAGUUUAAGAAAAAAAUUGUUUUUUUUAUGUGACUAAACUUGGAAUGAAUGUCCAAGUUGCAUACAUACUCGGGUUGAGAUCAAGUCAUAAUGUAGUUUAAGAAAAAUAUUUUUUAUUUUUUAUUUUUAUUUUUUAUCUGAUUGAACUUGGAAUGAAUUUCUAAGCUACUUACGUAUCCAGGAUGGGAUCAAGUUCUAACAUAGUCACAAUGCAGUUCAAGAAUUAUUUUUUUUUCUUUUUUUGUGCUCCAACUUUUGCCAAGACUAAAGAUCUUAAUUUUGCGAGCAUGUCCUAACUUUUGCCUAGGUCGCCUUUCCAAGUUUUCAAUUUAGCAAACUAGGUUUUUUUUUUUCUUUUUAGUUCUCUAACUUUUGCCAAGACUAAAGAUUUUAAUCUUGUAAGCAUGUCAUAACUUUUACAUAAGUCGAAUUUUUAGGUUUUCAUAGUGCUGGAUUUUUUUUUUGUUUUUUGUUUUUUUUUUGUGUCGUAGUCAAUUUAAGCUCAUAUGGGUUGGAAGCGAUGUGUAGUUUGUUGGGAUUGAGCCCUUAAAAGCAAGACAUGAUGUAAUAAAGUUAAACUUAACUAUCCCCUUACUAUCCUUUUGGUGUAUCAACAUUGAUUUAAACAUUCAACCCAUAUCUCUUACAUUGUAUAUGAUUUAGAAGCAUUAGGAGUUGUACAGAAGAUACAAGUUAUGUGUUCUUUGUAAGUAGGUGAGUUAUCCAUAGUCAUUUCAUGGAUUUGGGCAAUCUAGUAGAGACUAUAGUGCACCACCUCCUAAUUGAAGGGAUGACUUGUCUUGGCCGUUGGGAUGAGUUUCCUAUGGUGAGCGUACUAGUGUAUAUGAUGCACAUUGGAUAGGACCUAUGACAAAUCAUGAUGCAAGGCUAUCAAUUGUCAUGAUUCACCAAGUUACUAUACUACAUGGACUCUCAACCUUGAGAGGACAUUGAACCUGUGUCAAAAUCAAUAGAAAGUUUUGACCUAUGGGCGAGACCCUAAAGUAGUCAUAUAUCCUUAUGAAUUAGGUCAUUGUUGAUGGAGGCUAGUGAUAAUAGGCAUUCUCAAUAGAGGCACCAUGAUAUGUCAUGCGAUUGAGAUGGUGUGUCCCUUUGGGUGAUCCAAGGAACAUGUGAUCAUGAAAUUUGUGGCCACAGUAAUUCCUUUAGUGGAAUUUGACAUAUGCUCAAGGAUUUGAGAGAUAAUAUUGAUAGGUGAUAACACUAUCUUGUUAGAUUAUAGACACCAGUUUCAUGGGGAAUCUGCAUGUAGUGGAUAGUAGGUCAUGAAUGCGAGCUUUGUCUCGUUGUUAUUUACAUAAGGUACUGGAGUGUAGUUGAUUCUCUUUAGUAGAAUGUUAAAUCAACUUCAAAAUUGGAUUAUGAGGGAGCCAGUACUCCUAUGGGUCUCAAUGGUCCCCACUCUAAGCUUAUAUACCAUGAUGACAUAAUUUAUGAGGGUUGGAUUGGCUUUAGGUUCAUUCUUAUGCAUAAGGGCAUUUUGGUAAUUACUCAAGGUUGCAUAGGGGAUAAUAAAUAAGGUCUCUAGAUUGGACUAAUUGAUUAAUUAGAUGGCCUUAUGUGGUUAAUUAAUCAAUUAAGACAUGUUAGGGCUAGAUUAAGUGACUCAAGCCUUGAUGGGUUCAAGUCACUUAAGCCUAGUGGGUAACCGUAUAAAUACCCCCUUAUGGGUUAGGGUUUUCUAAUGACUUUUAGUUAGUCAUCUUCCACUUUUAGAAAAAUAGAGAGAGUCAAAGCUUCCUCCUUUCCACUGCCCACACUUUGGAAUGCCAAGAUCGUGGAUCGAGUCAUCGAACGAAAGAUCUUGGGUGUAUGAGACCUUCGAACUCUUUAGGCUUCUUCUUCGUUGGAUGGAUUUUGAUCUAGGAACAUCUAGAUCACAUGUAUGUGUUAUAAAAUUUGGUUAAUUCAACCUAAGGUAAUCAUCCUAGAGAAGGGGCGAAUAGGGUGAUGAUCUUUUUUUGAAAAUUUAAAUUAUGUGAAUGCAAGAGACAAUUAUAUGCAAAAUAUAUAGCAAAACCAUAUAAAAACAAUUGCAUAUAAAGUAAAAGGGUAAGGAAGAGAGAAAAUAAACACAAGAUUUUUAUAGCGAUUCAGUGCAACCCGACCUUCAUCCAUUCUCCUCUAGCUUCAAUCCCAAACUUGAGGUUCCACUAAUUUAAGGCUUCCAACCCAAGCCUUCAAGCAAUACAAUCGGAUUAUGGUUCCAAUCAAACCUCUUGAAAUUUUAGUUCUAAGCACAUUUUACAAUCUUCAAGAGAUACCUCACUCUUAAACAACUCCUUAAGUGAUACCCCACACUUGAGAAUCCCUAAGUGAUACCUCACACUUAGAUUUUUCAUCUCAAAGAUUUAUAAAUGAAGAUAGGAAAUUGUUAGCCCAAGGGCUCUCCUAAUCGGGUUUUGAUGAUAAAAAAUCAUGGUUAAAUGACUAAUUGGUUUAAUGGUUAAGAAUCUCAGGCAUAAACUUGAAAAUUCAUCAAAAGACCAAAUGGAUACAAGAUCGAGACGUUUGGAAGACUUGUGAUCAUAGGAAACUAAUGUAAGAUGAAUGCAUGAGUACACUUAGGAUUUUCAUACCGUUUCAUGCAAUUUAGAAAACUCGGUUUAUUCUUUAAAACUUCAAUUUCAUUAAAACUUGAGUUUUAACAAAUGUACCUUAGGCAAAAUGUUUUAAAAUUGGCAUAAUAAUUCACCUAAAAACCUUGCUUAAGUGUUAGAAAAGAAAGGAAUUGAAAAAUAUAGGUUUUCGGGGCCAAAAGGCUCAACCGAUCGAGGCUAUGACCAACCUGCUCAACCGGUUGGGGAAUCGGUCGACCGGUUGCCCCUGUCCGGUCGAGGUUCGAUAGAGGGAUGCACAAAAUUUUCUUUCUCUCCCAGUAGCCUUCUCUUCUCGGUCGAGGUCUGGUUGAGGACCGAUCAAGGUUCGAUCGAGGCAACGGUAACCUGUCAAGCAUUAAAUGUUCCAACGGCUAGUGAACCGGUCAACCCCUAGCUCGACCAGUUGAGGUUACCUUUUGCUGUUUUUGGCUCCCGAGCUUAGAAACCUAUAAAUUGAGAGCUCCACUUUAUUUAUUGACGAGAGAACACUUGCAAUCAAUUGUCUACCUACCUGUUCUUGAUCAAAAAACUCUCAUUUCUUUCUUUGUGCAUUAAAUCAUCACUUGCAUAUCCUUUAGUGCACUCUUAUGUGUCAUCCUAGCUUUGUCUUAUAUUUGAGCUAUCCUUAAGCUAGGUUGAGGGAUUCAUUCUUGUAAAAACUGAGUGUCAAAGCCUUCAAGAGGUUUAAAUCUUGAAGAGAUUGUGUAAGAGCCCAUUGGAGCCAGAAUCCAAGUGUAAGAAGAUUGGAAGCUUGGUUGAAGCUUCAAGUUAGUGGAACCCUCACUCGGUUAAAAGAUUGAGGAGAGUGGAUGUAGGGAAGGAAGUGUCGAACCACUAUAAAACCCAAGUUUGAAUUCUCUAACUCUAUCUCUUUAUUUUGCUUAUAUUGUGCUUGAACUCGUUGUGAUUGAAAAGAAUUUAAAAAACCCAAUUCAUCUCCCUCCCCCCUUUUAGGUGUUUUUCUUAAUUAAGCAUAGCAUUUAUUUUCUCAAUUGGUAUCAGAACUAGACCUCUUGUUUUUUUUUUUUUUUUAAAAAAAAAAAUUAAUCGUCUAAGAGGAUAUGACUAUUGCAUCAAGCUCAUCUCAAGCUAAAAUUUUUUCAAAACAUAGAGCUUCAUUCUUUACGGGAUCCGACUAUCCCUAUUGGAAAACUAGAAUGACUUGGUACUUACAAUCUACUGAUUUAGAUGUAUGAGACGUCAUUGAAGAUGGCCUAACUUUUCCCACUAAACUAGUUGAUGGAGUUUUGGUUCCAAAACCCAAGCAAGAAUGGAAUGAGCUUGAUAGAAAAAACUUUCAAUUAAAUGCUAAAGUCGUUUUUACUUUGCAAUGUGCUAUGGAUAGAAAUGAAUAUAAUAGAAUAUGUCAAUGCAAAUCGGCUAAAGAAAUUUAGAGGUUGCUUGAAAUAACUCAUGAAGGAACUAAUCAAGUGAAAGAGUCAAAAAUUAAUUUACUUGUUCAUAACUAUGAAUUGUUUUCAAUGAAAAAAAAUGAUACUAUUGUUGAGAUGAUUACUAGGUUCACCGACAUUGUCAAUGGUCUUGAAGCUUUGGGAAAAACCUACAAGGAAUCCGAGAAGGUGAUGAAGAUAUUGAGGUCUUUCCCAUCAAAGUGGCAUACCAAGGUCACUGCAAUUCAAGGAGCAAAAGACUUGACUAAGCUACCUAUGGAAGAGCUCAUAGGGUCAUUAAUGACAUAUGAGAUCAAUUUGACAAAGAAGCUACAAGAGGGUAAAGACAAAAAGAAGAAGAACAUAACCCUCAAAGCUAUAACCAAGGAAGAAGAAGAUGUUGAAGAAGAAAAACCAAGUGAUGAAGAUGAUGAUUUAGCCCUCAUCACAAGAAAGCUCAACAAAUACAUGAGAGGUGAAAGGUUUAGAGGAAGAAAGUUCACCUCUAGAAGAGAUCCUUCUAAAAAGGAAUCUUCAUCCCAUGGUGACAAGGAGAAAUGAGAAGAUAAAAGAGAUUUGAUAUGCUUCAAAUGCAAAAAACUGGGACACAUUAAAUAUGAUUGUCCACUCUACAAGAGUGAAGCCAAGAGAAGAAUGAAGAAGGCAAUGAUGGCCACUUGGAGCGAAAGUGAAGAAUCCUCCGAAGAAAAAAAGGAGAAGGAAGUAACAAACAUGUGCUUCAUGGCAAUAGAUGAUCUUGAUGAGGUAAACUCUAACUUUAGUGAUGAAGAUAUGUAUGAUGUUUUUGAAGAAUUAUAUGAGGAUUUUGAAAAACUUAGUUUGAAAAAUAAUUCUCUUAAAAAUAAAAUUCAAGAACUUGAAAAAGAACUUGAAGAAGUAAAAGAAAAAGUUUCAAUUGUUGAAAUAUCUAAAACUCAUCUUGAAAAAGAAAAUAAGAUUUUGAGAAGUGAAAAUGAGAUUUUGAAAAAGAAAAAUGAAUGGUUGACCUCCUCUCUUUCAAUUUUCUCUUGUGGAAAAAAAUAUUUUGAAAUGAUCUUAGUUAGCCAAAAAUGUAUUUUUGACAAACAAGGGUUAGGAUUCAAAUCUUCAAAAAAUCAAAAGUAUUUUAAAAACUACUUUGUAAAAGAAUCCGCAAGUGUAAGUCAUUCUACCACUUGCAACUUUUGUAGAAGAGGAGGAGACAUUAGUAGUACAUGUCUCUUAAGAAAUGGUUCUCAAAAGAAUUCAAAUGCUAAAGCUAAAAAGGUUUGGGUUGAGAAAUCCAAAGUCACUAACCCUCAAGGACCCAAAAAGAUAUUGGUACCUAAAUCAACUUAAAUUUUAUUUUGUAGGGUUCAAAGAAGGAUAAGUGGUUCUUGGAUAGUGGAUGCUCAAGACACAUGACCGGGGAUGAAUCCAAGUUUGUUUUCCUUACAAAGAGAAAGGGAGGAUAGGUUACCUUUGGAGACAAUGCAAAAGGAAGGAUCAUUGGUCAAGGCAACAUUGGUAAUGACACAUCCUCUCUUAUUGAAAGUGUUUUAUUAGUGGAUGGUUUAAAACAUAAUCUUUUGAACAUAAUUUAACUUUGUGACAAAGGUUUUAAAGUGAUUUUUGAAGCAUUUCAUUGCAUUAUCAAAGAUAUUCAAAAUGAUAAAACCAUCUUCAUGGGCCAUAGAUGUGAUAAUUUUUAUGCUAUAAAUAUUUCAAAUAUGAUGGCCAUGGUAAAUGUUUUUCAAGCAUGCAUGAUCAAAGUUGGUUGUAGCAUAGGAGGUUGGGACAUGCUAACAUGGACCUCAUUUCCCAACUCAACAAAGAAGCACUUGUUAGAGGCCUUCCCAAAAGAAAUUUUCAAAAAGACAAAGUUUGUGAAGCUUGUCAAAUGAGAAAGCAAAUCAAAAACUCUUUUAAAAACAAAAAUUUCAUUUCAAUAACUAGGCCUGCAUAUGGAUUUAUUUGGUCCCUCUAGGACACCAAACCUUGGAGGAAAAUCUUAUGCAUUUGUUAUUGUGGAUGACUUCUCUAGAUACACUUGGGUCUUAUUUUUAAGUCAAAAGAAUGAAGUCUUUUUUGAGUUUUCAAAGUUUUGCAACAAGGUUCAAAAUGAAAAAGGUUUUACAAUUUCUUGUAUAAGAAGUGAUCAUGGAGGAGAGUUUGAAAAUAUUGAUUUUGAAGACUAUUGCAAUGAGCAUGGUAUUAACCACAAAUUUUUGGCUCCUAGAACUCCUCAACAAAAUGGGGUAGUUGAAAGGAAAAAUAGAACUCUUCAAGAAAUGGCUAGAACCAUGCUAAAUGAAAACAAUUUACCAAAAUACUUUUGGGCCGAAGCAAUUAACACUUCUUGUUAUGUUUUAAAUAGAAUUUUAUUGAGGCCUAUUCUUAAAAAAACUCCCUAUAAGCUUCGGAAAAACAAGAAACCCAACAUUAGCUAUUUCAAAGUCUUUGGGUGCAAAUGCUUUAUAUUAAAAACCAAAGACAAUCUUGAAAAUUUUGAUGCAAAAUCGGAUGUUGGAAUUUUUCUUGGUUACUCAACUUUAAGUAAAGCCUUUAGAGUUUUUAACAAAAGAACCAUGGUUGUUGAGGAGUCCAUCCAUGUUAUUUUUUAUGAAUCUGACAAUUCUCUCCAAGAAAGAGAGAGCUUUGAUGAUGAUUUAGGCUUGGAGACCUCCAUGGGAAAAUUACAAAUUGAAGAUAGAAGGCAACAAGAAGAAGUUGUAGAGGAUCCCAAGAAAGAAGAAUCACCUUUGGCACUACCUCCUCCUCAACAAGUGCAAAGUGAAUCAAGCUAAAACCUUCCUAAAGAUUAGAAGUUUGUCAUCAACCACCCACAAAAUCAAAUUAUAGGUAAUCCAUCUAGUGGGGUAAGAACUAGAUCAUCUCUUAGAAACAUUUGCAAUAAUCUUGCUUUUAUCUCUCAAAUUGAACCUAAAAAUAUAAAUGAUACUCUAGUUGACGAAAAUUGGAUGAUUGCUAUGCAAGAAGAGUUAAAUCAAUUUGAAAGAAGUGAAGUAUGGGAAUUAGUGCCAAGACCUCAAAAUCAAAGUGUUAUUGGAACUAGAUGGGUCUUUAGAAAUAAAAUGGAUGAAAAUGGCAUAAUUAUAAGGAAUAAAGUAAGAUUGGUAGCCCAAGGUUUUAAUCAAGAAGAAGGGAUAGAUUAUGAAGAAACCUUUGCUCUCGUAGCUAGAUUGGAAGCCAUUAGGAUGCUACUUGCCUUUGCACGUUUUAAAGACUUUCUUUUAUAUCAAAUGGAUGUGAAAAGUGCUUUCUUAAAUGGCUUUAUAAAUGAAGAGGUAUAUGUUGAACAACCACCCGGUUUUCAAAGUUUUAACUUUCCUAAUCAUGUUUUUAAACUUAAAAAUGCACUUUAUGGUUUGAAACAAGCACUUAGAGCAUGGUAUGAAAGAUUGAGUAAAUUUCUUUUGAAAAAGGGUUUUAAAAUGGGAAAAAUUGACACAACUCUUUUCAUAAAAAUAAAGAAAAUGACAUGCUCUUAGUGCAAAUAUAUGUUGAUGAUAUCAUUUUUGGAGCUACUAAUGUCUCUCUUUGUGAAGAAUUUUCUAAAUGCAUGCAUAGUGAGUUCGAAAUGAGCAUGAUGAGAAAACUUAACUUCUUCCUUGGACUUCAAAUCAAGCAACUAAAGGAAGGAACCUUCAUCAAUCAAGCAAAGUAUAUAAGAGAUCUCCUCAAAAGGUUCAAUAUGGAGGAAGCGAAAACAAUGAAGACUCCAAUGAGUUCAUCCAUCAAGCUUGACAAGGAUGAGAAAGGUAAGUCCGUUAACUCAACUAUGUAUAAAGGCAUGAUAGGUUUUUUGCUAUAUUUGACCGCUAGUAGACCUGACAUCAUGUAUAGUGUAUGCUCGUGCGCUAGAUUUCAAUCUUGUCCUAAAGAAUCUCACUUAAGUGCCGUAAAAUGAAUUCUUAGAUAUUUAAAAGAGACAAUGGACAUAGGCCUAUGGUAUCCUAAGAGUGAUAACUUUGAAUUAAUUGGAUUCUUAGAUGCCAACUUUGCCAAUUGUAAAGUUGAAAGGAAAAGCACUAGUGGCACUUGUCAUUUCCUAGGACACUCACUUGUUUCAUGGCAUAGUAAUAAGCAAAAUUCGGUAGCCUUGUCAAAGGCGGAAGCAGAAUACAUAGCAGCUGGUUUAUGUUGUGCACAAAUCCUUUGGAUGAAACAAACACUUAGUGAUUUCAAUUUGAUUUUUGAGCAUGUUCCUAUUAAACGUGAUAACAUUAGUGCCAUAAAUAUUUCAAAAAAUUUGAUGCAACACUCUAGGACUAAGCAUAUAGAGAUUAGACACCAUUUUCUUAGAAAUCAUUUACAAAAAGGUGACAUUACACUUGAAUUUGUAAGCACAAAAGAUCAACUUGCCGAUAUUUUUACAAAACCUCUAAGUGAAGAGCAAUUUUUUUAUAUUAGAAGACAACUAGGGGUGAUUUCUUUAUAAUCAAAUGAUUACUUGAUGAAUUCUUGAUUGAAUAUACCUUAUGAUUGCGUGAAUUUCACAUCAUAUGCAUCAUAUAGAAAUAAUCUUAGGAAAAAGGUCAAAUUUUGACCAAAAAUCAAAAUUCCCUUGGCAUUGGAUAUCAAAAAUUGGGGAUUUCAACUGAAAAGGGCAAGGGAAGGAUCACGAGACAAGCAAAAGCCAAAAAAUUAGAGCGUUGACCAUUGACCAUUGACCAUUGACCAAGCGGUUCGUCGGGGCUGGGAAUUUAAAGAGACCCCCGCGCUUUAUUUUUUUCACUAUUCCCCUCAAUUCCUUGAAAACUCUUCACAUACCUGCUUCCAGAGACCACUUUGGGUUGAAUCUUGGACCAUUUGAAGGGCUUGGAGUUGUUUUUGGGACGUUUUUAAGACUAGGGUUUCAAUCUGAAACCUAAGGUUUCCAUUUUUAGGAGCAAUUCCUCUCAGACCACGUGCAUCAGCCAGGCUCAACUCCUUCUCCUUGCGCUUAGGGCUUCCGGUUGGAUUUCAUUCUCUCUUGUUUGGUUUCAUUCUCUCUUCAAACUUCUUUUUCUUCAUUUUCCGUUCUUUGGAUGGCGCCUAGGAGAGAGACAACUACCUCUAGGGCUCAGGGCAAGCGCCCUGCUGAGCCAUCUCAACCUGAGCAGAUGGAGGCUCACCGAAAGGCGAGGUAUGACACGACCCUCUGUGGACCCGCAUUUUUCACGUGCGUCCCCACUCGAUCGGCGAGACUCGCUUUUUAUUUGUGAAAAAUUGAUCUUUAAAAAAAAAAAAGUUGGAGUCGCCACCUAUUUUAUUUUUAUUUUGAAGGGAAAAUAAAACAAGAAAGAAAAACCCUAAAAAGUGACUCCAUGGUUUUGGAAAAAGCAUGUCUUUGAGAAACCCGAGUCUAAGUCCGGGGAUCAGGUUACUUAUUGGGAAGGUACCUCUAGGAGGUAGCACCCCUCUAAGCCCUAAAAAGGUCUCUACUGACUAAGUUAAGGGAAGCGUGGCAAUUAAAUGGUUGAUCAUGGAUACCUAAGUAGGCUAGGUGAUUCCAAAAACAUAACAUAUCAAACAAGAUCAAAUCACAAUUAAGGAGAGUUAAAAAUGCGUACCUGGACGGCUUCCCAAACGCUAUCAUAAAACAUAAGAGAUUAGUUUGGAGAUACAUCACACAACAUUUGUUUUACUCAAGCAAAUCAGGCAUAUAUCAAGACAUUCAAGAAUCACGUCAAAUAUGGAUAUGGUCAUCAAUGACAUACAAGUCCAUAGAAUUCUCGAAAAAAGGAUGAAAAUGAGCGUACCUGGAUAGCAAGCUAGAGCGCCUUUAUGGGAAACAAGGUUAACCCAAUAACAAAUUCAAGCAUAUCUCCAAGAAGAAUCAAAAUCAAUUGAAUACCAAAAAAUCAUCUUUAAAAUCAAUAUUAGUGAAGAUAUUAGGAAUGUAGGACCCCCCACCAAAGUCCAUAUUACUUUUGCACGAAUUGAUUCAAUGAAUUCCAUUAUUUGGAAUCGUGAAGCUUAUUCAUGCUUGUCAAAAAUCGAGAAAAUCAUAAAAUAGUUGAAGAUGAUGAAAAUGCAUGCCGGAAGGGAAAAUGGCAGCAAAUAGUAUGUUAAAAUUUGGAUUUUAUGCCUAGAGACUUCUCAGGAAUUUUAAAUAAAACUAGAAUUAUUUUUUACGGGAAAAGAUUUUGAAAUCCAGAUUUAAAAUGUGUAAGAUAACAAAAAGAAUAAGGAGAAACAUUAGGAGUAUGGUGUGUGGCAAGGUGACCACUAUAUGAGUGAGGUCUGGAGGUGCACUUGAGACUAAAUGGUUGAAACAGAUUGCAUAGGGAGCAUUCUGUACACCACUAGUUGUCUAGAAAGAAACUGAAUGUGUUCGUUUCCGAGCCCAUGUUCACCGGAGUUUAGGGUGCCACCUCAUUUAAAAAAAAGGGCUUCAAUACAACUCUAGUUUCUCAAGAUCACAAUCUGAAUUAUCAACAGAAGCUUCUGGUGAAGACAUAAUGCUCAAUUUCAGAUUAAAUUUCCUGUUCUAUAACUCGUUUUCUCUGAAUUUUCCUUUAAUGUCUGUGCUUUCUGAUCAUAUAAGUUGCCCGUCUGGUUCCUUGUUUGAGACUCUGCCGAACCUGGAAUAAUGCUUCUAGGUCUAGCUGAGGGGACCUACACCCCUUUUCAUGGAACCUGAGGCAUGCGUUAAUUCGAAACUCUAUUACUUUGCCUUCCAUUGCUUUAAGUCUUUUAGCCAUCUCAGCCACAAAUCUGGAGAUUCAUUUAUCUUUCUUUAAUAUUCAAGCCAAAUGUCAAUCCAGUCCGCUUAAACCCCGAUUUGAAUGAUUUUGAACCCUCUUUUUGCGCUCUUGAUGUUUUUCAUUUCAACUACAAUGACAAACCACCCUUCGAAAAAAGAAGAAAUCUGGACCAAAUCCUAAACUUUUAAUUCACAACUUCUUGAGCCUGACUCUGAGUCGACACAAUUGAAUCACCUUGGAUAAGAGUGCUUCUAAAAAUCCUCCAGAAUGUAGGCACAAGUGCAGCGUUCGUUAAUAAUGUCCAUGGCAUGUCACAAAGGAAAGCUUCUUUUUUUAUAAUCAUCAACGCAAAUUGACUCUUAAUGGACCCCAUUGCCAGCGUCACAUCAAAGACUGGACAGAUAGGGAGAUUCACAAUUUCGAUAGCUAUCUUUGCAUUAUUUGGGCAGGGCAACCAUGUUAUGGAUAUAUAGCUCGAAGGUGACUUGCGUUUUGUUCUGUAUCAUCAGUAGCAGCCUCAAACCCGCCAUAGGUUUGAGUGGUAUUAAAAGACUCAACAUGAUCAGCUGUAGGUGAUCGAGCAGCCAAUUCAUCAUUGAGCAAAUCAAUAAAAGCUUGGAUAUCGUUGCCGAGUGGCCUAAAAUCAUUAGAUAAAUCAUUAAAGUCAUUAAGUAUAUUACUGAUCUCCAUGAAAACCCUCCUCCUUGCUUCUGUAGAGCGAACACAAGCUGCCACUAAAAUUGGUUAGCCCGGAUUGCUAAUUUAUGCAUCCAAUCACCAUCGAUUUCUCUUGUCCUUUUUGGAACUUCUGGAAUAUGGAUGAAACCUGUGAAGAAUGUGGUGGAAUUGCGGUCUGCAAGCACGAAGUUUCCAGUUACUUGAAAUGCUUCGAAAUCAUGGUUCCAGUUUACAUCUACAGGCAUUGGCUCAAGUAAGUUCGUAUCAGCUUGGGUGGCUUUCGAUUCCAAAAGCUCUAACAACAACAUGAUUCUCAAAUAUCCGAACAGCAAUGUCCAAAAUUGAAUCAAGAAAAUUCUUUAGCAGCAGUAUGUGUUGUCCCUGCUGGAGCCAUCACAGGAGCAACUAAGCUAACUGCCAAAAAGGUUCUAGCCAGUGAGAUCCCAUUCUGACGUUUCGGUUUUGGUGACUGAUAGCUUUCUAAUUGUCCCUGCAAAUAAUGUAAACCAAUAGUUCCAUUGAAUGGAUUGUCAUCCAGAGCAAGGAUCCGAAUACUUGUAAGGCCAUCAACGAAAUCAGCGAGGGUGGUGUCGACUUCGUUGUAAUCGAAGAAGGCGAGUUGCAAUUCAGACAAUCUGCGAGAAGAAGGCAAUUUUCCAUUGAAGUGGUUCAUCUGAAACCCCAAAUUGCAGAGCAUUGAAAGCUGGUUGAAGUUUUGAGGGAGAGGUCCCUUUAAUCCCAAUCCCUUAACUUGAAUCUGUGUAACUCUGUCACCACUAUAAAAUACACGAGGCCACAAAUUUGACUCCACCCGUUGGCUCCUUUCCUUCAUUCAUUCGCUUUAACAAGUCACAUUUAAUUCCAAAGAAUAUUAUAUAAUCUUCAAGUAUGUUCAAAUCAGAGGGCUCUAGUCCGUUAACCUUUACACUCUCUAGCAGGUUCUGUUCUUGUCUCUUCCUAUUAUACAGAAGUUCAAGCAAGUUUCAUAAAGCCUGAAUUUCUACACGUAGCCACUACUGGGGUCAGGUUUAUCCAAGUGUGCUGCUCCAACAGAAUUAUCGAUGUGUCAGUUUCUCUAAAAAUCACCUUGUGAAUCAAUCCACAAUACCGAGGCAUCCCAUCAUCAGAACUUCCUAAGCUUUCAGCAAGUAGGCAAGCAUUUAUGCUUGAGUCAACUCUACCGAUGACAACAAACCCAUCCAAAUCAAACUUCAUAGCUGUUUCUUCUUUUCCAUUAAUAUCAACUGGUAUCCUUUCUAAAAGAAUGCUUUUCUUAUGACGACAUGACAGUAAAACCCUUUUGCGAGAAUGGCUCAGAGUUUUGAUCAUCAUCUGAUUCUAUUGUAUUACUGGAAUGAUUGCUUUGGUAAAUGGAAUUCAACAGAAUCCACACAUUCAUGACUCUAAAAUUCAGCUUACUAGCAACCAGAUGGAACACACAUUUUCUGGUUCAGGCAUUCGUUUCUGGUCAGAUUCAUGGUAUCUUAGCGGUGCAACAGACGAUGCAGCAACCUCUUCUAGAGUGCCUUUUAUGAGCCUCAAGAGCAAAGGCCAAUGAUAGAUGAAGCGGUCCCUCUGCACUACUUGGGCUUCUGAUUCAGAAGUUAUCAUGAAGCCAACGAACAAGCAGAGUGAACGCAUUUGCAGUCAACCUUAAAAUUUCUAAUAUUGUCAGCAGGCCUGAUGGUAAAAAAACGAAAGUAGGGGAGCCUUAUUCAAGAGGAUCAUUGCGAACACUGUCACGUGUUAUUGGUGAGCUUGUUGGCAUCUUGUUUUGGGCAGAAUAAUGAGAUCCUUCAGUUAAUUAGAGAUCCAUAUCAACUAAACACCAGAAUCAUGGAUUUCCCAUGCUUUCUACUGGACAACGAUUGUCAGUUCUUUCUCUUGUUCACUUCUACUGGCAGUGGCUUGACUCUCCAACAAAACCCCUGAUGCACCCUGUAGCUCCUCAUUUAAUUCUGGAUUCUUAUCAGCAUCGCUUUCUUCUCCCUUUUGAGACUCUUGGAGUAUGAAAAAGAAAACUUGUGAAGAAUAAGGUGGAAUAUCCCAGCAAUGCAGUAUGGUAGGACCCAUUUGAGGGGGAACCCUGCAUUCAUCACUCUCACCUCCAGUAGCAUUAGAUGCUUGCUGGACCCAAUUCAGCCAGUCUCUGCAUAUUGACUCUCAAUAUAAACGUUUAGAAAUAACAAUGACUUCAUUUCUACUGCCUUGUUUAGACCUUCCUUGAUCAAUGUCUACCUUCAUUUCUCACAAAUUCUGGUUCUACUAUUAAAGUUCUGCCCCCAGUCCGUUUUGCAAAGCAUAAGCUAAUUUUAUAUUUGUAUAAUUCCAUCUUAACACACAAGUCCGUCGUAGCCUUUCCUGAGAAGUUAGAGAAGUUGCUUUUCUGAUAUAAAAAAGCCUUUCAGAACCAUGCUGAAGCUCUGAAUGUUGAUAGUUUUCCAUUGCAACUGAUAUGAGCUCCUCAUCGGUAGUGUCACAAGAAUGAUUCCAUGAGAAGUUUCUUGUUGCAUCACCUUUUUUAUGUAUUCCAACCCCAACUGUUGAGUUUCUUGAAAUUGAAACUACGGAACUUAGUUAUUUUGAAUUGUUUGCAUCUGUAGUGAUAAAUCACUGGAAGAGACAAUCAUAAUUUAGGCACUUGAUUUCCGUUUCGGUCGAACUAACAGCUUCGUAACUGUUAAUCUCAAGGUCAGAUUCAUGCUCUUGUUUCUCAAUUUCCUCUUCCCAUGAGAAUUUUUUUCAUAACAAUCGAAUGAAUUCUUAUAACUCCCAAAAGUUUCUAGCUUUUGCUGAUCAUGGAGGUGCCUCACAAUACUUGUCAUUAUACUCACUUUGGAAUUUUUCUGGUCCAUGUUCACUUUGAAUGAAUGUAUCCCUAAAGGGGGUAUUCAAUGACUGCCCAUAAUGAGUUACAAGUUCCCCAAAAUAGAAUAUAAUGAUCGUCGGCCUUACAGUACUGCUGUUUUAAAAUUUUCUGCUCGCUGAACAGUCAUAGUUCAAACCAUCAAUAUCAAAAGGCUUUCCCAGGCACUCAUCUUCAGAACCAUAAGGCCAGCAAGUCUGCAACCGUUUGAGUUGGGUAAAAAAGAAAGUCCUAAGCAGUGGAAGUGCACAGCAUGAUGCUGUCAAGUUUCAAUAACUUAAAUAUUGGCCAACUUAAGCCAGACCAUAUUCCUCAAAAAUCCAUUCUUCCUCUGCUCAUGUAAACUUGUAAUGCUGUCAGAAAUCCUGUCUUCAGAAUAGCAACCCUGACAAUUGAGUAUGGAAAGCAGAAUACCCAUGUGCUUCCAACUAAGCUUUUUACAACCAUCCUCAUAAACUGAGGCGUGCCAUUCUAAAGAAAAGGCAGAGUCUUUUAGAAAUCACAAUACUUCUGAAGCAGCUUGAAUUAGCAUAUUGCAGUAAUUGGAAGUCGGAUUGACUGAAACAGGGGCUCGAACGCAUCCAUCUGUAAAUCUUACAGACCGACCACCCUCAGAGAAAAGGUCUCCAAAAAAAAGGCUUCAGCUUCAUGACAAACAGCAUUCUCUGUUUCAGAGUUGCAACUGCCCCUGUUAUACUACUCCUGUGCACUUCAGCAUUUAUUCUUUAGUUAUACCGUCCCUUUAGAUAGCAUCUAUCCCACACCGUGAAGCAAGCAAGGUUCACUAUAAUAGGAUCUAGUAGCAGCAACAAACGGGUGAUCCUGGAGAUAUUUUAAACUCAACUUCAUCAACAUCUUCAGCGUGCACUUCUGUUGGAACACAAGCGAUAGUAGCAGUGAAAAAAAAAGUGUUGUACUGAUCCCGUUAGGAUUGCAGCCCAGAAUACCACGAACAGAGAGCCCCAAAAAUUGAAGCAACUCUGCAUCCAACUAAAUCACAUCUAGAACCCGGUUUAACGACUUUCUUGUCUUGAAGAGGAAAUACCCAAUCUGACUCAACAAUCUGUUAUCAUGUGCCAAACCCCACAAACAGCCCACAUUCUACGCAGCCUUUAUAAAGUCUCUACCUUUCAUGAAAUACUCAUGCCAUCAUUGUCUCCAUAGCCCAGAACACCAAAGUAAAGAAGAGGAAGAAGCGUAGAUAUAGAAGCACAAAAAAAGAAACCGAACAAAGAAAGAAAAAAAAAAAAAAAAAACGAAAACAGGGGAAUGGAAGGCAAUGGGUGGGAAAUCUGAAUAAGUCACAUUUCAUUAUUUUCAAAAGGGCUUUGAAGAAUCUGAACACAUUAGGACAAGCUUAGUUAAAAUUAUAUCAGGAUUCCACAAACAUUAAAAUUCAAACAUAAGUCUCUGUUUCAGCUAUUUAUAAAAAGAAUCAAAGAAAUCAAGAACACAAUCAUAAUAGAGCAAGUUUGAAGGAAAUUUCGAUUCAACAACGCAAAUAAAUGGCCCUCAAUGUCCACUCCAAUCAGCAAGAACAACUUCCCGAAAACAGCCAGAGAAUCUCAAGUGAAUGUAAACGGGAAUACCAAAAUAAUAAAAAAAAUAACAGGAAGCGUACCUGGCAGAACCUUGGCUGCAAUCUCCCUCUCUUUCUGCUCUUCUCUCCGCACUUUUUCUUCAAGAUCUCUCUUUUUCUCCUUUUUCUCCUUUCUUUCUUUUCUUUCCUUCUUCCUUUUCUUUCCUUCUCCCUCUCAAGCCCAAAAAUCCUAUCUCUCCCUCCGGAUCUCUCCAAAAAAAAAUCCCCAUGCGUGCUGCCAGUCCCACUUUUCAAAAAGAAAACAUCUUGCUGAAAAGGAAAAUCCUACUUCCUUUUCUCCUUUCUUUCCUUUCUUUCUUUUCUUUCCUUCUUCCUUUUCUUUCCUUCUUGUAGCCGAUCCCCACAUGGAAGAAGUAUAUGUGCUGUCCCUCUAAAAAUCAAAAUCUCCUCUUUUCAAAAUUCCGUUGAUUUUCCUUCCAAAUAAAUGGCGGUUCGUUUCCUCAUGCCCAAAAAAUAAAUAAAAUAAAAAAAUAAAAAUAAAAAAAAUAAAAAAUAAAAAAUUAAAAAAAUUAAAAACAAAAAUAAAAAAAAAUCAAUCACAUGCAAGCCAUACGAGCUAUGUAACCACCAAAGGAAUAUGAGUUAUGCAACCAUGCAAAAACACGAGCCAUGCAACCAUGCAAACCAUGCAAAAACAUCUAAAGGUGACCUAGGGUGUGUCCUAGUGCGCUAGGGCAAACGAAAUGGACUAAGUGUGCUUAAAAGCUAUCCUAAAAAAAAGAAAAGCCUACGACUAAGUUAGGGCUGCCAAGGGUCACAAUAAGGGAUCAAAUAAUCCCUCAACCAAAAUCUCCGAGGUGACUCAGAAAAAGGUUAGUGGUAUGAGUAGCCAUGGGCCACCAAGGAACUAUGGGGCACUGAAAACGAAUUUAAAGACAUGUGCUAAAGGGACAAAAUUGAGGGUCUACACCCUCUUCAGUUCUGUUGAAGAUUAUCAAAGAUACAAGCAAAAAUUCUCCCAGAGGAAACUAGGGAGAAAUAUCAAUUUCUCCCAACUUUAGUACUUCGGGUUUGAGGGACUCUUUAGUCGGAUGGGAUAACUGCCAGUUGUGAUGAUUUUCGAGCCGAUCUUCCUGACUCUGGUGCGGGCAUUUUAUUCAUAGGUGACUUAUGGACUUGGAGGACCAGUCAUGUCCACUAUUAGAGGUGUUGAGAUCAGACUGAGCCCGGAGAGCAUUUUCCGCAUUCUCGACAUUCCUUUAGUUGGACUCCGGGUGUAUGAGUCCAAGGUUUGGCCCACUGUGCCGGGAUUCGAGCCUAGAGAGGCUAUUCAGAGGCUGUGCGGACUUGUAGAUGCUGAGGGGAUGGACAAACCAUCGGCACAUAGCCUGACCGUGACCAGCCAAGUCCUUCAUCACAUGAUUUGCUCCUAUUGCCACAAGGCGGGUAUCGAGAUGAGAUUUCCUACCUGGAUGCUUUCAUAGUGGACACCAUUCUAAUGGGGAGAUGGAUUCAUGUAGGGUAUUUGAUGAUGAUGCAUAUGAUAUCCUACUAUGAGAGCACGACCCGAGUACUCCCCUACAGACGCUUCCUCACUCGAGUAUUCAAGGAUGUCGGGGUCGAUUUGAGUAGAGAGACGAACUUCGAGGCCCUUACUAGCUAUGAUACUUACGAUGAGCAGUCCUUGGAGCGGAUAAAGUUUGAGAAGGCCCUCGAUGGCUCCUGGAUUAGGAGAGUUGAGCGAGCUCCAGCAUAGGCCCGGGGACAAGGAUAGAUGCAUCCCGGAGUAGAGGAGGAGGCUGAGAUCAAAGAGAUGGAGGAUGGGUUAGACCCAAGGAUUGAAAUAUCGAUAAAUAUGGAUAUAUCGGUACUUGGAUUUUACGGAUAUAUCGGAAAUAUCGGAGAAAUAUCAAUGGAUAUUUUUCAUCAAAUAUCGGUGAGACAAAAAUUAUCCAAAAUUGAUGGGAAUGCUUAGAAAAAUCCAAAGAAUGAUAAAAUAAGCAAGAAUAUACAUGUUAAAGUUAUUUUAUGAGUGUAAUUGACAUAAAUAUGGUAUAAAAAAAAUAUAUAUCGGUAAACAGUUUACGAUACUUGGAUUUUAAGAAAAGAAAAUAUGAAAUUUGGAAUUGUACACUUAAAAAGUUAGAAUUGAGUUAAGAAAUAUUUGAUUUUAUUAAAUGAAAAAAAUUUACACAUAAACAUAAUACAUAUGACAUUGCAAUGGUCCUUAAUACCAAAAUGAAGAUCGAUGUGGUUCCAUCAUAUUGUUAUUGUUAGAUGAAGGGAGCCCAUCUUGUUGAAGACAAUAUUCAUACCAGGACAUGGAGUUUCGAUAGUAUUGAUUGUAUGUACUAACAUGCCAUGCAUAAAUUUCUUGAGUCCUACCGACAACCUGUCCAUGGAUGGGAAAUCCAGGGUUUUCCCAUGUGCUCGUUUGAAAUCCUUGUUGUUGCAGCUGAUGUAGAAGGUAGUAUGGAAUUUGUGUGGAAGAAUGAUAGUUAUACCUUUCAUACUCUUCAUCAGUGGAACUUGAAAGAUUUUGAGGAGGCUGACCAUAACUCAUUGCAUAAGGGGCAUAAAUGUUGGCUUCAUUUGAUGAAUCACUUAAUUGAGUCUCUACACUCAUCGACUCAAAACUGGCCGACAAUGAGUCCUCGUUGUAUGGCAUCAUCCUUCGUUGUCUUCCUCUAUAUGGCUUUCCAAUGGCUCCAACACCUGGACCGGCUCUUCUAGAGCCGUGGUCUUCAUCUUGAGUACAAUGUGUGAAAUCAUCUUCACUAAUAAAUGCCAAUGGUUGUCCACUUUGUUGAUGUUGUCUAACAUCCCCUUCAUCAUUUUCAGGGUCGCUACCAUCAUUGGUCCCCUCUCCUCUUGAAUCAUCAUAACCGGAAGCGGAAGUACCAGUAGCACUAGGUCUACUACUAUGUUCAACACUCGUGGGGUCAAAAGAAGGUCGAGAAGUGACUACCAGCUGAGAAAUUCCUUGUCGAAAUGAAUCUUUCGUGUCUUGGUUGAAACUAUCAAUAUGAACUUCUUCGGAUAACACUUGAUCAACAUCAACACCUGCUUCUCGGACAUGUGCGGCAAUUCGUGGGUCGAGAUUUCCAUCUUCAUCAUCUAAAUGAAGAGGUCUAACCCAUUGAAACAAUUGGUUAUCUUCUUCUUCACCAGCCUCAGUUGCAAUAUCAAGUAAAUCAAGGUAAUCUUUCUCUGAAACUUUGUCAUGUUCUGCUUCCAUGUCACGUAUCUUUAGUUUCAUGUUAUAAUAAUAGAAAACUAAUUGUUAGAGCAUCGGGUAAGCAAGCUGAUUUCUUUGUUUUGUAUGAAUUAUGGAAAACAUGCUCCAAUUUCUCUCACAAGCUGAAGAUGAUGCAGUUUGCGAUAAAACCUUGAUGACCAACCUUCUUAAUGUAGGAGUGUGAUUUCCAUACAUGAACCACCAUUCAACUACAACCAAAUAAAUGAUAUCAAUACUUAUAUUGGAAAGCUAUAAUAAUAUGCUAAUGAAAUGAAUUAUUAAUUCACAAAUAAUACUCACCGAGAACCAUUUCUAACCUCGAAGCAAUCACUGUUUGAUCACCGAAUCCUCUUUUUGCAUCUCGGAAUAGUAUAAUCUACAUAUUAAAUAAUUGAAAGUGAAAAAGUUGAGUAAAUGAAAUUAAAUUAUUUAAUUUAUAUUAUAACUCUAAUAAUUUACCUCAUUUCCAAAUUGACUAAAACCUUCUGAUGUAGGAUCUAAUUUCGCAAAGACUUCAUGGACAACUUGAAGUAGAUCAGGAUCAGUACCAACUCCAUGUUUAUAUUGAAAUCUUGGAUUAAGAAAGAAUGCUACAAUAGUAAAAUAGAAAUGUAAAAUUAGAAUGUUAUGAAAGAAACAUAUUAAAUACCAAUAAAUUUCAAAGAUGAAUAAUACUUACCUGCUGCAUGAAAAGGAUGUUUAAAAGUUCUAUCCCAACGAUAUGCAAUUAUUUCUAACACCCAUUCUUUAGCAUUAAGUCGAAUAAGGUUCUCUUUCAUAACUCGAAUCAAUUCGUACACAAAUGGCAUUGUAGGAACAACUUCUGAAUCGACAAUGCGAAGAACUGUGUAUAGCGCCUCAUAUAUUGACACUAGCUUUCCCACUCUUUCCUAGUAUGCAUGGUCAAACAUAAGUGAUUCAACUUCUUUGCCGAUUAAUGUGCAACUUAAGUUGUGUUGUGCCCAUUCAUCACUGAUAAAUAUUUUCUUCAAGUUUAUUUUCUUUUUCAAAAGACUGUCGAAGGCUAUAUAAUUGGUUGCAAAUCUUGUUGCUCCAGGACGAACUAUGUCUCCACCACACACCUUCCGCAUCUGGGUAAGCAACCAACCAUGGUUAUAAAUGAAGUUGGUUAUCUUUCGAGCCUUUGUAAUCACAUCUGCAACACUCGUCCUUUUACCGAUAUCUUCGAACAUUAAGUCGAUGCAAUGUGCUGCACAUGGAGUCCAAUAAAGAUUGUAUUUCUUCAUUAACAACUUCCCCGCCUUCAUGAAUGCCGACCCAUUAUCUGUAACUAUUUGGACCACAUUUUGUUUGCCAAAUUCCUUGAUCACAUCCUUCAACAAACCAUAUAUGUAUUUGUUGUCCUUUAUAUUAUUUGAUACAUCAACAUAUUUGAGGAAGAUUGUGCUACCUUUUGAAUAUACCAUGAAAUUAAUUAUGCUUAAUUUCGUGGGCCCAGUCCAUCCGUCAGACAUAAUCGUGCAUCCAUAAGUCUUCCACUUUUCUCUUUGAAUAUUGACAUAAGCUUCUAUGUCUUUGUACUCCAUAUCCAAAUACUCGUGUUUGAUUUCAUAAGGAGACGGUGGUUUUAUACCCAUACCUACCAUCCAUAUAUAAUUAAAGCAUAUAAGAACAUUUGUGGCAAUCAUACUAUAUAAAUAGUAAUGAUAUUGUUAAAAUGAAUACAACUUUUAAAAUUAUAGUAAUUACCUGCUUGUUGUGCACCAACAAUCAUGUUCUUGAAGUGGUGAGAGUCUGUUUUACUGGGCGGAACACUCUCAUAUAUGAAGAACUUACUGAUCAAACGUCCCAUGGUUUCCUUGAUGGCACCACCUUUGAAAAUAUUUUUCAUAUUUUUAUGUCUUGCUACUGAAGAUUUGUACAAUGAGGGUGCAUCAGGCAGUGAUGGAUCUAAAUAUCGAACACUUUGCGAUUUUCGCAUUUGCCUUGUUGUUGGAUUGGUUGGAUGUGAAGACUUGCCUAUUAUAAUUAUUAAAAUUAAACAUAUAUGCUAAUUUAAUAUUAUUGAUAAAGUUGAUAAGAAAUAGUAAUAAUUCAAAUUAAUAUUAUACCUGUUUUUAUUUUGUCUUUUAUAAAAUGUUCUUCUUAUUGUCGAUUCCAUUCAGCAGCUUUUGAUGCUCGAACCGCCUCUCUAUAAGCAUGUCGCUCACCAAGGUGCAUGUCAGCCAGAUACAUAUACACAUCAUCAUCUCCAUCAUCAUCAUCACCACCAAGGUUCUCCUCAUCGUCCUCAUCAGUUACAUGCUUAUGUCUUAUUCCCAUUGUGUCUCGCAGUUCAGAUCGAAUCUCUUCUAUAUCUGUAGCUUUCUUCGCUUUUGCCUUAUUUUUUUGCUCUAGAAGUCGUCUUAUUUAUUGUUUCACUUCUGGAGGCAUGUUAGGACACUUUUUUGUAUUUGAAUUAGGGUCUGUAUGUGAUAGGUGAAAUUUAAAACGAGUAAUCCCACCACUCUUUAUUGCCAACCCACAGUAAUUGCAUACUGUUCCAUUUUUGUCCCCUUCCAUAGGUGUACAAUAUUUCCAACAAGGAUCUCGACCCAUGAUACCGCUUUCACUAGCCAUUUUCUAAAAUUGAAUUAUGAAACUAAUAUCAAAUUUAAAAUUAUUAAAGAUAAAACAUGUAAGAAAUUUAAUAUUCAUGAAAUUGAUAAGAACUAAUAAAAAUUGAAAUUAAAAUUAAAUUAUGCAUAUAUGAAAUAGAUAAACAUUACAAUAAAAUUUCAAUAUGAAUUAAAUUUAAAUUAAAUUAAAUUAAAUUUGUAUAUUCAUGAAAUUGAUAAGAAUCAUUACUAAUAAAAAUUAAAAUUAAAAUUGAAUUAUGCAUAUAUGAAAUAGAUAAACAUUACAAUAAAAUUUCAAUAUGAAUUAAAUUAAAUUAAAUUUGCAUAUUCAUGAAAUUGAUAAGAAUCAUUACUAAUAAAAAUUAAAAUUAAAAUUGAAUUAUGCAUAUAUUAAAUAGAUAAACAUUACAAUAAAAUUUCAAUAUGAAUUAAAUUUAAAUUAAAUUAAAUUAAAUUAAAUUUGCAUAUUCAUGAAAUUGAUAAGAAUCAUUACUAAUAAAAAUUAAAAUUAAAAUUGAAUUAUGCAUAUAUGAAAUAGAUAGACAUUACAAUAAAAUUUUGAUAAGAAUUAAAUUAAAUUAAAUUUGCAUAUUCAUGAAAUUGAUAAGAAUCAUUACUAAUAAAAAUUAAAAUUGAAUUAUGCAUAUAUGAAAUAGAUAAACAUUACAAUUACAUUUCCAUAUGAAUUAGAUAAUAUCAAUUAAACUAUUGUAGACCCCCCUCUUUUGGUCUCGUUUCUUUUUUUUUCCUCUACAUAUAUUAUGUUUGUUUUAGCCAUUGCGGAAGCACCUGGAAGAGGUGUUAGUGCCUUGAACAAGUGGGGGGACCUGGCUGUUUGGAGAGAUGAGCUGCGUGGAACACGUGGUGGAGCAGUUGGCCACAGCCAUGGUGGUGGUUGGGGCUCCAGUUUGCUGAGCAGAGGAACAGUAUAGUAGCUGAUGGCUUGCAGGAAAAGCUUUGACGGAGAAGGAGGACAGAGGAUUUUUAAGAGGAUCCUUUUGAGAGUGCUGGCAGGGGGGGAUCUUGGAGGGAAAGGGAAGAGGAGAAGUAAGUUUUGAGGAGAAAGGGGCUUUCAGGUAUGGCCAUUUAUGAUUUUUCCCGAAUAUUCUGAUCUUUCAUAUCUUUCCCAUCUUACUCUCCAUGAUUCCAGUUUUGCUUGAUGAGUUGUUUUGUUUUGAUGAUUGUUGGUUUAACAUUAAAAAAGAUGGCUGUUUUUUUUGUGUUUUACCCGUGCAAACCUCUUCCAACUUAACCCUUUGAUCGUUAAGCUCAUGGAUGAAAGAAUGAAACGAAGUUAGCACAUUCAUCAAAAGGUUCCCUGCUAUGUUUCUCCAUUUGUUCCCUUUGCUUGAGUAUGUGAGUAUUGAUGCUAAUAGUAGCAAGGUCCCAGCCAACUUUGUACAAUAGAGCUCAGAUGUUGCUCUAGGGGUUCAUGAUCAUCCUGUCAAGUGCCUAGGAGCAAAUGAUGCCCUUGAGCUUACGUUUCUAAGUCGUGUUCUCCCUACCAAGCUGGAUACCCUCCUUGCUAAGGACGGGGGGACGAAACCUAUUAACAGCCGAAACCCAAUGAUAAGAUCCAAGUCACUGUCGAGUAUCUCAAUGAGAAGGAUGCCAUGGUUCUUUCUUCGUGUACAUGUUGUUCCCAUCUCCACCCAAGUUGACUAAACUGUCAUCAGUGAUGAGAUUGCUGCCUACACUAAAUAAUACAUCAUCCAGCCGGUUAUUCAUGAGAAACAUUAAGAUGAGAAGUCCACCUUCCAACACCCAUUAAGCCACUCUUCACACCCAUCUUCUCUCAUUAACAUCCUCAUACCCCUCCCACCACUUCGUGAUUCAUAUCCCCAUCAUCCCCAGCCGUCCAUGCUAUCAAUAAUAUCCCCACUUAUCUUCAUACCCAUUUGUUCCACUAUUCGGAAUCCCCAUGCAUGCGAAACUGGACGCGGAAGCCAUGAUAGCAGAGAUUGUGAUGAAGAACGUGGAAUGCGGUACCCUGUUGCAUGAAGUGAGCAUGGUGGAGCGGCGGUUUGAGGAGUCGACGAGGAAGAUAGAGCUGUAGAAGAGCUUGCUGGAGGUGUUGGAGUUGGAGAGGACGAUAUUGCUGAAUGAUAACGUGCGGCUGGGGCGCGAGAUGAGUGCGCUGAUUGAGGAGAACAAGGGGCUGUGGAGGUCCCGGCUCCUGCUCCGACGCUGGAGGCGCUGAGUCCUCCAGCACCGCCGGCCGAAGCUCCUAGGCCACAGCUAGAUGCGAUCCCAUCCAUCUCCAUCUCUGCCAGGUGAGAGUAGGGCAGAGAAGAUCACGUGCGUGAGGUAGAGGGUAGAAAUGGAUAAAGGGCAUAGAAAAUGGGCUACAGCAAUGCAUGGAAUUGUUUGAUAAAAGAAAAGAGAAAUGGGUUUGUUGACACGUGAAAGAACUAUGCACUUUAAAAAAACUCUCCCUGUUUGUUUUACAUAUUCUCAAACAAUGCUUAAAAAUCCCUUAAAAUUUUAAAGUUAAAAAUUUAUUCACUUAUUCAUGUUUUUCUAUUCACUUCAAAUUCUCGAAACUCAAUCCUAAAAUUUAAUUUCUUCAAAGUUCAAUCUCCAAAAUAACUUUUUUUUUAGGUUCUAAUUUUAACUUUAAUUCUCCAAAGAUCCAAAAUUUUAAAUUUAACUUUCCAAAAAUCCCACAAUUCCGAAUUUAAUUUUAGGUCUUGUAAAUUAGUAUUAUUAUCCCAUAUUUAUUUAUUUAAAGUCCAAUCCUUCAAAAAUCUCAUUAUUAUUAUUAUUAUUACUUCAACUUUCGAAAUCAAUUUAUUCUUAUUAUUAUUAUCAUUAAUCCAAACUUUCAAAAUCCUAUUAUUAUUAUUAUUAACCCAACUCUCAAAAUAUUAUUAUUAUUAUUAUUAUUAUUAUCAUUAAUUCAGACUUUCGAAAUCUUAUUAUCAUUAUUAUUAAUUCAACUUGCAAAACCUUAUUAUUAUUAUUAUCAUUUCAAAACCUUAUCAUUAUUAUUAUUAUUAUGAUUAUCAUUAUUAUUAAUUUAACUUUUAAAAUAUUAUUAUUACUGUUUUUAUUAAUUCAACUUUUAAAAUCUUAUUAUUAUUAUUAUUACUAAUUCAAUUUUCAAAAUCUUAUUAUUGUUAUUAUUAUUAUUAUUGUUAAUUCAACUUUCAAAAUCUUAUUAUUAUUAUUAUUAUUAUCAUUAUUAACCUAUUAUCAUUAUUAUUAUUAUUAUUACUAUUACUAUUAUUAUUAUUAUUAUCAUUAUUAUUAAUUCAAUUCCCCAAAUCUUAUUAUUAUUAUUAUUAUUAAUUCAACUGUCAAAAUCUAUAUUCCCGUAGUUUAAUUUCUCAAAGUUCAUUUCUUAUCAUUACUGUUAUUAUUAAUUCAAUUUUCAAAAUCUAUAUUCUCGCAGUUUAAUUUCUCAAAGUUCAUUUCUUAUCAUUACUAUUAUUAUUAAUUCAGCUUUCAAAAUCCAUAUUCUCGCAGAUCAAUUUCCUAAAGUUCAUCUCUCAUUUUCUUUGACGAAUUUCAAUUUAAUUACCGAAGCUCUAAUCUUUCAAAGUUAAUUCCAAAUACUUCAAUUUUCAAAUAAAGUCUAAUAAUCCAGUUUUCACUCGAAUGGUUUUAAUCCCAUUUCAGUCCCUAAAUAAUCUUCUGGUAUUCUUGAUUUUAUAUAAGCAAUAGUGAAUUCUUCAUAAUUCUAAAACACGGAAUUUGUGAGACUGGUUCAUGAAUAAUAAAUUGGGUUUUGGUGGGAGGCACUAUGUUUGAUCCCUAUUGAUUGUCAACUGUUGUGCUUAAUGUAUUUUUGCUUGAUCUUCAUUUUGCACCCUGAUAUGCAUGAGUUAUAAUUUGUAUUCAUUAAUUAUGCACUAAUCCUGUUUCUUGAUAGCAAAUUGCUGUUUGCUACCCAGGUACGCAUUCACUCAUUCUGAUCAUUCACUAUACGUAUUCUGAUUCUCAUAUAUGCAUGAUUAAUGUGAGUAUCCAUUGACUUUCUUAUUCGAUUGCCACGUCAGUUUCACUUUAUUAGUAGAGACCCGACUUUAGGGACUUUGAGGGGUGCUAUGGUCUCUACCGUACCUUCCCGAUAAGUAACCUGACCCUCGAACCCGAUCCGGUUUUUCACAGACCACCUUUUCCAAAACAAGGAGUCGCACUUAGGGUUUUUCUUUCUUAUUUUGUUUACCCUUUAAAAAUAAAACAAAAAUAAGUGGCGACUCCAAGUCAUUUUCAAAUAAUCAAUAAAAAUCAAGUUUUCAAAUAAAAAUCGAGUUCGUCAUCGAGUGGGAAACGCAUUGAGCCGAAAUGCGGGGUCCACAACUAUAUAUAACAAAUAAAAUUGAAUUAUGCAUAAUAAAAUAAAUUUUAUGAAAGGUAAGACAUACCUUAAUUAGCUUUGACUUGGAGUUAAUCCCUUUCACCAACAAAUUUUCAAAAUAAAAAAAUUUUGCUAGAUCAUAUAAGAAUUUUGAUGUAUGAAAUGGAAUGGAAUGUGGGUAUUUAUAGGAAUUUUUUGGUCAAACUACUCGUUGGAUGGUCAAAUAGCCGUUAUAAAUUAAUUUUAACCGUUGGAUCAAAAUUUGGUUCAAAUUUCACCAUUAGAUCUUCAUAUAACCGUUGGAAACACUCCAUAGCCCUUGGAUAAAGUGAAGAUUGAUUUUCCACCAUUGGAUCACAAAUCUGACCAUUGGAGGCCUUUAUAAACACACGGGUGAAAUUUGGGCCAUCAGAUCCUCAAAAAUUCAAAUUUGGCCGUCAGAUCAAAAUCCUUGAAGCUGUAAAAAAAUCACCGAUUAAUCGCGAUUUUCUCGGCAAAAAAUCGUUGAUAUAUCGGUAAAAUAGCUGAUUUUUUGGGCUCCUCCUCCGGCUUCUUCGUGCGUGCCUCUACUCGCGAUUUUUCGUCGAUUUAUCGGUGAAGCACCGAUAUUUGGCCGAUAUAUCGGCGAUUUUGCCGAUUUUUCCGUCGAUUGAUAAUCGGUGACGAUUAUUAUUUCGGUGCCGCCCAAUAUCCGAUAUUUCUCCGAAAUAUCGAUGAUAUAUCCCGAUUUUUCAAUCCCUAGUUAGACCCUUAGAGGGAUUUUAAGUAGAGAGGGCCCGAGCUUGACAUUUCUCCUCCACCUCAUUCAGAUGGUAUUCAUGUUGAGACCACUUUCUUAGAGCCUAUGAUGAUUGAGUCGUCUUACACUACAGGAGCAUCAUCUCAGCCAUCAUUCACCGAGCUUCCUCACACAGAGAUACCAUCUCAGGCACCUCACGCUUCUGAUCAUGCCCCUUGGAUGGAUGUAUCAGCUCAUAUCAGCUUCCUUGGGACUCCUAUGGAGGAGCUUGCUUUAGUCAAUGAUACUCGAUUCUACUCUAUGGAGGAUCACAUAGAUCAGUAUCAGACUGGCUUCACUUCUCGUUUUGAGCACUUCCAGCAGAGAUUUGAGCGUAUAGAGGAGCGUAUGGAUCAACAGCAGGCUACAGUUGAGCAUCUCCAGCAAAGUAUUGAGCGCAUUGAGAGUCGCCAGGCGAGUUAGCAUGAGGAGAUGAUGGCUUACCUCCGCUCCGUGUUUCCAUCUUCACCCCCUCAGCCUUGAGUUUAUCUAGAGUUCCCCCUCAAUUUCUUUUUUAUGUUGCUAAAGGGGGAAAAAUAUCUAGGAUCUAGGAAACCCUCAUGCAUAUCAUUGUCAUAUCUAUCUUGAUUAGCAUAUAUGUUAUGUUUUCGUGUACAUGUGAGGUUACCAUAUAUAUGAUAUGCUAUUUUCAUGAUCCAUUGUUUCCUAUUCAAUUUUUCAUGCUUUACAUUGUUUCCUAUUGAAAAUUGAUUGAUUGAUCCAUGAUUGGUUUGAGGGGGAGAUUUUUUUUCUCUCCUAGAUAACCAAGGUUGGUCAUCAUAAAAAAUGGGGAGAUUGUUAGCCUAAGGGCUCUCCUAAUCGGGUUUUGAUGAUAACAAACCAUGGUUAAAUGACUAAUUGGUUUAAUGGUUAAGAAUCUCAGGCAUAAACUCGAAAAUUCAUCAAAUGACCAAAUGGAUACAAGAUCGAGACAUUUGGAAGACUUGUGAUCAUAGGAAACUAAUGUAAGAUAAAUACAUGAGUGCACUUAGGAUUUUCAUACCGUUUCAUGCAAUUUAGAAAACUCGGUUUAUUUUUUAAAACUUCGAUUUCAUUAAAACCCGAGUUUUAACAAAUGUACCUUAGGCAAAAUGUUUUAAAAUUGGCAUAAUAAUUCACCUAAAAACCUUGCCUAAGUGUUAGAAAAAAAAUGAAUUCAAAAAGAUAGGUUUUUAGGGCCAAAAGGCUCAACCGGUUGGAGAACCAGUCGACCAAUUGCCCUUCUCCGGUCGAGGAAUGCACAAAAUUUUCUCUCUCACAGUAGCCUUCUCUUCCCAGUCGAGGUUAUUCUCUUCCCGAUUGAGAACUGGUCAAGGUCCGGUCGAUGACCGGUCGAGGCAACGGUAUCCUGUCAAGCAUUAAAUGCUCCAACGGCUAGUGAACCGGUUGACCCCUAGUUCGAUCGGUCGAGGUUACCUUUUGCUGUUUUUGGCUCCCGAGCUUAGAAACCUAUAAAUUGAGAGCUCCACUUCAUUUAUUGACGAGAGAACACUUGCAACUAAUUGUCUACCUACCUGUUCUUGAUCAAAAAGCUUUCAUUUCUUUCUUAGUGCAUUAAAUCUUCAAUUGCAUAUCCUUUAGUGCACUCUUGUGUGUCAUCCUAGCUUUGUCUUAUAUUUGAGCUAUCCUUAAGCUAGGUUGAGGGAUUCAUUCUUGUAAAAAUCGAGUGUUAAAGCCUUCAAGAGGUUUAAAUCUUGAAGAGAUUGUGUAAGAGCCCAUUGGAGCCGGAAUCCAAGUGUAAGAAGAUUGGAAGCUUGGUUGAAACUUUAAGUUAGUGGAACCCUCACUCAGUUAGGAGAUUGAGGAGAGUGGACGUAGGCAAGAAAGUGCCGAACCACUAUAAAAUCCGAGUUUGAAUUCUUUAACUCUAUUUCUUUAUUUUGCUUAUAUUUUGCUUGAACUCGUUGUGAUCGAAAAGAAUUUAAAAAAUCCAAUUCACCCCCUUCCCCUCCUUUUGGGUGUUUUUCUUAAUUAAGCAUAGCCUAUAUUUUCUCAUAAAUAAUCUCACAAAAUCCUAGUACAAACUUUAGCCUCAAAUUAUACAAGAUAAACUAGGAUUGAAUGGUGCACUAAUGAUAUGUAAGUUUUAAAACAAUGUGUACUAAAAAACACUCCCCUAAGGCUCAAUUAUAUUCAAGAAAGGUUUAAGAAGGUUAAACUCUUGAAACUAUAAAGAUUGAAGCGUUUUUAUAGAAGAGAAAAGCCAAACUACCUAUUGGGGGUUCGUCUGGUCGAGCUCUGGUUCGACCAGUUCACUAGCCAUUAGCAUUUAAUGUAUGAUAGGUGACCAUUGGGCCUUGACUGGUACUCAAUUGGAUGAAGUUCAACCUUGAUUGAUCGAAUAAGCAUUAUGGAAAAGAGAUAAGGUUUUUGCACCCUUCAACUGAGUAAGUUGAAUAAGUCGACUAAUUCCUCAUUCAAUUCAACCAAUUAAGUCAUUUUUUGCUAAAAAAACCAUCAUUUUCAACUUAAAACCUUUUAAACAAGUUUGGAAAGCAUUUGACAUAAGGUUUUAGUUGAAAACAUGAAAUCAUCCAAUUUUUAAAAGAUUUAAAACAAAAUAACUCUUGAAUGAUUUUAGUGUAUAAGUAAAGAAUGUAAUGCAUGAAAAACCCCAUGCACUAACAACCUUACAAAGAGAUCCUAUGAGGCUUAGGUCUUGAAAAAACACUUAUCUUUAAGGUUUUCUUCUUCUUAUUGAUUUUAUCUUUGUGAUUGCCACUUUGGAAAUCAUCUUGCCUAGUCACACUUAAAAUAUAAUCAUUAGUUCUAAACCUUGUUUUGUUAUCAUCAAAACUAAGAUUAACCAAACCUUGGUUUCACAGUAUGAAUAUUGUAUCUUUAGAUCUAUAGUUAAUAGUGGUUUUUAUAGUCAUAUGUUUCUAUUGUGAUAAAUUUAGAGAUGCCUAGGGAUAGAUGAAUGCACCCUAUGAGAUCUAGUGCAUAUGAAUGGAGUAAUCUGGGGUUCCUAACAUAGUUUAGGCUUGUGCUUCAUAGAGCGAUAACAAUUCUUCAAGCAUAGUUAUGCUUUAGAAAUUUGUUAUUGAUUGGUCCAAUUUUUAGACCAUCUUUAGCAACAAUCUUGUGGGCACCAUUGAUAUAAACUUGUUAUACAAAAUAUGAUCUAUCACAUUUUUGGCAAGAACUUUCCACUAGUUUUGUGCAUGGUAAUGAUCAUGCAUGCAAACUUAACUAAGUUAUACACUAGAUGCCAAACUACUACAAUUCUUAUACACCUUCCCAUUUUGUGCAACCGAACAAUUCAACAUCAUAACACCAAAGUUCUUGCUUAGAUUUCCUACAGUGCUAAAAUUUUGAAAUGAUUAAUUUUUUUAUUUUCCUUUCAAUACCAAGACCCACAUACAUCAUGUCAUGCCCUAAGACCCACUCUAAGGGCAUGACAAUCAUUUCACAUCUCAAGGUAGAAAGCUCAAAGUGUAAAUUGACCUUAACAUUCAUUUUGUAACUGGAAAAUUAUCAAUUACCAAAUUCAUAUUCAAAGUAGUAGAAUAAAAUUCUAUAAGUUUCAAAUCUCAACUUUAAAGCUAACACAUCAACUAAAGUGUUAUUGUCCAAACAACUUCAAACUUAACAAUUCAAGCAAUCAUUAAAUUCUAGCUUUCAAAAAAAUAAAGUUUUAACCAAAAGUCUUAAUAUUGCCAAAAUAUCAUCCUAACGAUCACUCCUAGCCCGAAUUAAGGUGCCUAAAAAAUUGUCAAUGAAAGGAAAUGAGAUCAACGCUCAAUAAGGAAUAUUAACAAAGUUUCAUGGAUCAAACAUUUUUAAUUAUAAUUCCAAAUAGGAGAUAUAAUAUAUAAUCAUUUUCAUAAAAACUUUUGAGUUUAAAUAUAAUAAUACAUUCAAAAAUUUUUAGCUAAACAUUUUCAUAUCUAUGUCAAAACAAUUUCAUAUCAAAUUCAAAUCAAAUAUAUACAAAAUAUUUUUAUUUUGGUUAUCAAAUAUCACAUGGUGUCAAGUUAGGUGGGACUUUACAAAUUGGUGUCUAGCCUCAAAUUUUUUCAUUUCAAGGUGGAUGAAACCAAACACUACUAGUAUUAUUAACAUCUAACCAAAUGCCUAAAGGGUGGAAUCUAAAGCAAUUACAUGCCCCGCCAAGAAAUAUAAGGUCAACAAUUAUAACUAGUUAACUAAGGACAAAAAUAAACUAGAGUCAAACACCUUAUUUCAUUAAUUCAAACUUACAAAACAAAAACAUCAUAUCUCCAUAAUUUUCAUUUUUUAUAAACAAAAGAAAUGUUCUAACAUAUUUUUUUCAUGAAAAAUAUAUAUUUGAUCCAUGCAUAAAAAUAAAAAUAAUUUUUUUUAUUAUUCAAAAUAACAUAUAAAAGUAAAUAUGUUCUUUUGGCCAAAACAUGUAUUAAUUUUUCUUACCUCAAAGAAACACUCAAAGACCUUGAAGCAAUUAAUCCUGAAGAAUUUCACCCCAAAAAACAUAUUUCAUACCUUACAAAAAAAAAACAAAAAAACAAAAUUACUAUUGAUUAUUUAUCUAAUAAUAGUUUCGUAUCUCAUAUCACCUAUAUUAUUUUUAACUUCCUAAUAAAUAACAAUUUAAUAAGUGAUUUUCCAAAUUUUAAAAAGUUAUGUUCUUUCCAAAAUUUAUUCAUAAUAUUCUAUUAUUAUUAAUUAAAUCUCUCAAAAAUAUGUUUUUUCUAUUUAUUGCAUUAAACUAUUAUUAUUAUUAUUCAAUUUCAAUUUGAUUAAUUGGUUUUUUCUUUUAAAUUUUUAAUUUAUAUAAGAUUCUUGUUUUGAAAAUCUUCCAUAUUUACUUAUUUGUUUAAAGUAAAUUUCUCCAAAACUUGUUCCUUUUUGUUAAACAAAUAUCUUUUCCUAUUAUUAUUAUUAUUAUUAUCCCUAAUAUUAUAUUCAAAUAACUAAACAAUAAUAAUUUAAAUUAGUGAGUUUCCAAAUUUUUAUAAAACUCAUAUUCAUUCUAAAUCUUAUCAUAUAUAUCUAUUUCUUUUAUAUAAUUAAAUUAAAUUAAAAAUUUUACUUAAAUAUAUAUAUAUAUAUAUAUAUAUAUAUAUAUAUAUAUAUAUAUUAUAUUAUAUUAUUACUUUCAACAUCCUUCUACCACCGAAACAAUUACCUCAAGUAAAAGUCAUCUAUCCUUAUUCUACUAACUACCCUCUCUCUUGCAAUAGCACACUUAGGGAUGGCAAUGGGGCGGGUUCAGGAUAGGUCACCCCCAUCCCAACUCCACCUUGUUUAUUCAAAAUAAUUAUCAUCCUCGUCCCAUUUAAAAAAUUAAAUGAGACGGGGCGAGUAUGAUAAAUUCUCAUACUCGCCUCGUCCUGCCCCGUUUAACUUUUUUUUGAAUUUAUUUAUUUAUUUAUUUUUAAAAUUACUUUUAAAAUUUUUAAUUACAUUAAAAUAAAUAUAUUUUAUAAAUAAUUAAAUAAUUAUAUUUUUUAUUACUUAUUUUAUUAAAAAUAUUUUAUUAUUAUCUAUAUAUUAAAAAUAGUAAAAUAAAAAUUAAAUUAAAUUAAUUUUAAAAAUUAAUUUUAUAUAUAAUUGGGGCGGGGUGGGACGGGGCAAUACCCAAACCUGCUUCGGGUUUUAAAAAAAAUUCUCAAACUUGUCCCAAACCCGUUUAUUAAAAUUGAACUCCGUCCCAUUAGGGACGAGGCGAGUACCUCGAAAAAACCUGCCUUAUUGUCAUUCCUAAGCACACUUUCAUUUUUUUUUUUUCAUUUUUAUUGCUUUUAUCUUUUUCCUCCCUAAGAUCAAUCAUAUUGUAAGCACCCCUUUUUUUUUUCUACCACAUCUUGUUGCAAUCAACCUUGUAAGUUUUUUUAAUUUAAAUUUUUUUUCCACUAUGGAGGCACGUACAACCAUAAAACCCCAUCUUUUUUUAUUUUAUUUUUACAACUCUCAAAUCUCUCAACCUCCAUACUAUUAGGUUUUAUUCAUUCAUUUAUUUAUUUAUUAUUCCAUAUCCAAAACUAUAAUUAAUUUUCUUUUAUAUUUUUUUAUUUUAGAUCUAUUAAUUUGAAUAUUCAAAAUUUCUAAUCUUUACUAAUAACUCUAAAGCAUUCAAAACUAAUUAAUAAAUAUAAAAUAUUAAUCUAAGGAUUAAAAUCUUAUAUAGAAAAUUGAUCUUCAAAUCUUAAACCCCCAAAUUUUCAACCUUACAUUGCGUUGUCUAAUAUCUCAAAUCUCCAUGUAAAAGGGCUUUUGAAUAGAGUAAAUAAGAAAAAUUUAAUUUAUACCUAAAAUUUUUAAAAUAGAGAAAAAUCUUUCUACCCUUAUUAAUUUAAUUUAAUUAAUUUUUUAAAAUUAUGUUUUUACCCUUUAAUUGGGUUUGGGCAUCACACAUCAUACUAAAAAGUUAUCAAUAACCGUCCUUUGAGGCAUAUUAGCAUAAAUUUGCAACUUUAGUUGUGUUCUAGGUGCAAUUCUAUUAUGUUUAAUUGAAAAAUAACACACAUAGCACAACCAAGCCUAAUUGAAAGCAUUUGGGCAAAUAAAUGGUAAAUUUCUAAAAGUUCACCAAAACAAAAAAAAAGAUCAUAGAGGGCAUAUUUUUCAAGUCAACCUAGUUUUGGGAUAGCCACUUUCAAGCCUAAUGAUGUUAAGAUGUCUUAUUGCAAUCCAAUCUAAGAAUGCAAUAAUAGCUCUUUAAUUCAUAAUUUUAAAUUCACAAAAGAUAUCACCAAAAAUUACCAUAGGUUACCAAAGCAUCAACAACAUACAGAAAGCUUAGAAAUGCUUGGAACCUAUCGGAUUUUCACUUUUUAGGAAUAAAAAAAAAAAUCAACUUUAAGGAUUUUAGGGUAAUACUUGCUUGAACCAUCUUUCAAUCCUUUUGUUGGUGGUGGGCCUUUUACCUAUAGGAACAGGAAUAAGAGGUGAAAAUGAGGGAGCCUUAUGAAAACAGAUCCCUAGGGCUUAAGAAGGGGUUUUCAAUUUUAGGGUUUGCCUUUUCACCAAGGAUGUGAAUGGGAAGAUCAAGUGAAGUUAAGAGAUUGGUGAAGCAAAGUGAGGGCAUGGUAGGGUUUGAAUAAGGGAAAUUCUACACUAUUAAUGAAGAUGAUAAUCUCGAGAAAGCAAAGCUAAGGUAAACUAGGGUUUUAAUAACAUUUUUCAAUCUACACUAGUGAAGACGAUAUCUUCGAAAACCAAAGCUAGGGUAAGCUAGGGCUUUAAUAAUGAAUUUCAAUCUACAAUGGUGAAGAUGAGAAUCUUCGAAAACCAAAUCUAUAAUGGUGAAGAUGAUUGAAAACUAAAUCUAUACUGGUGAAGACGAUUGUAAAGCAAAUCUACACUAGUGAAGAUGAUAAUCUUCGAAAACCAAAUCUAUAAUGGUGAAGAUGAUUGAAAACUAAAUCUAUACUGAUGAAGAUGAUUAGAAAGCAAAUAUUCACUGGUGAAGACAACGAAACCAAAGGUAGGUCUUCUAAACUAAACCCUUUUAGGGAUUUUCCAUUUUUUUUCCUUUGUUUUCAAGAAAGGUAAACUCUCUUGAAAACCAAAAAACUAAUGCAUUCUUAAAUCCAGAUCACCAUUUUCAACAUAGUAUUUGGAUUUCCACCUUGCAUUUUUUAUUUUUUAUUUUUUUUAAUAGUCAAGGGCAUUUUAGGGAUUAUUGAAGGAUAAUAUCAAUAAGCUCAAUUUCCUACAUUAGUUAGGUCUUAGGCUCAAAUGUGAAACUUAUAGGGAUGUUAGGCCAAUUAUCAAACUUACUUGCCUAAAGCAUAAUUUCCCCUUUUCAAAAUAGUUGUUAAACAUCAAUCCCAAACAUGUGUAACCCUUUGAAGUACUUGUAUGUCAACCUUGUUUCCUUUCCCUCAUGCAACAUGACUUAUUGAUGGUUGCAUUGAAUCAUUAUCAUUCACCAAAUCCAUGCAACUAUGGACUACCUUUCAAAUCCCUUGAACAUAAAUGGUAAUUCCAAAACAACUCAAGUAUAAUCUUUCCGGCCUUUCAAAUGAUUUAAUUAAUUGAUGUUUGAAUAUACUUCAUAUAUUUUUUUAGAGCAAUUUUUAGGCAUAUGACAUAAAUCUCUAAUUUUUUUUAUUUUUAUAAAAGGUUUUAUAUUUUAUAUUACAAUUUCCUCUCUUUUUUUUCAUCUAAAAAACAAAAUAUAAAACCUUAAUAAACGAGUUUUGUCACAAUCCCUUAAAAGGUAAUCUAUUUUUAAAAAUUACUUUAACCAUUUUAGAUAUAUUGAUUCAGUCUAAUUUAAUUUUAAUAUUUUUUAUAAAAUAUUUUUAUUUUAUAUGAUUAUAAAUUAAUUACCAUUGAUUGCAUAUUAUAGAAUAUAUAUUCUAAAAUAUAUCCUAUUGACAAUAAUAUCAUAAGAUAUUAUAUCCAUAUCCUAAUAUAUUAUAUACUUUUAUUUUGUGCAAUUAGCAACAGGGUGGAAGACGGCUUAGGCGGGAGACGGCUUAACGGAAAUGUCGUCUGCCAUGCGUGUCCCUUCCCUUAGUGAGUCUGAACAGCUCCAACAUUUCUGACACGCCCUUCUUCGGUUAGCUCUUAAGUAUUUUCGUUAACCCCAUCACAUUUCGCCAUGUGGAUCUAAGCCUCAUGGUCCUUUCGUUCGUACUAUGAAUAUAUUCCUUAUCUAGAGUCUGGAUCCUUUAUCUCUGCACGUGUCUAUGGCUCUUCACCCCAGCAAGUAUGGCAUUACAAGGGCAAUAUCGUCAUUAAAGACCCAAAAGGCAAACGAAUGGCAUUAUCUUCCUUUUGGGUCUAUUCUAUUUAUAUUUAUAUUGCAAGUUAUUCGUGAUGACUUCUCUCAUAACAGCUAAAAACCACUCCAACAGAGCACACUUCACUUCUUCGUUUUUGUCUUUCCUCUUUUUUUUCCAGAGAAGCUGAGAAAGCCCAGCUUGCCCUCAACUCCCCGAUGGGUUUGAUGAAUGUUCUCAAAUUCUCAGCUGCAUGCUUUGAUCUUCUUGGCUGGUAUGUUGUCCACGGAUUUUCUCGUCAUUGGAAAAUGAAGUGGAAUUCUAUGUUUGAGGACAAAACUGGGAUUUGCUUUGAUUUCUCCAUGUUGGUUUUAUCCCUUUCCUUUGAAUUGUCCACAUUCUUGUCAUUGGUUGUUAGUUAUUUGUUUGGAUUUCUACUUGCAGGCCUCUGUUUGCACUGGGUUAUCCUCUGUAAGUCUUGGUCUUACACCCCAAGAUAUGAUCAUUCAUUUACUCUUUUCUUGUUCUAUGAAUUCUUAGUUCUGUUACAUUUAUUGGGUUGGAUUAUUAGUUAUUAUAUUAAUAAUCAUCAACGUCAUCUCGGUUCUUCACAGAUGUGCUUCAAUUCGGGUAAUUGAGACUAACUCAAUCUCAGACGUUCGGAAGUUGGUGGCGUAUUGGGUUCUAUUUUCCUUGGUUUCACUCUUUGAUCAUACUUUUGCCAAGCUCCUUGAAUGGUAAUUUUGCUCAACUGCAUUCCACUAUAUGUGGCUCUAUUUCUUUCAUUUCUCUGCCCUUAAGGAAUUUGGAGUUGCUUUUUUCAGUUUUCUUCCCUGUGAAAAUAAUCGAGAUGUUUAAUGUUCCAGGCCUGCAUGCUCAAGGAAGUGGUGUCAGCUUUGGAAAUAAGAUGGAUCUACUAGUUUUUAUUUCUCAUCUUUAUAGGGAACUUUCCAUAAUCACAGUGAUGAAUAAUUGUCUUGUUUGAAAGCAUGGUUGCACUUAUUUCCAUGGAAUUUGUCUGCUGAGAAACAAAUGGAAAUAGAAAAUUCAGAAUCUGACAAGUUUGUGUAGGGCAACUGGAUCUAAUCUCUUAGUCGAAGCUUAAUUGGGGCAAAUGCUGAUCAUCUUUGGACCAUUGAAGGCUCUAAUCUGUGCACAAUUCUAAUGUUUUUGUUUUCUUCAUUUCUUUUUCAACUGUUCAUAAUAGAUGUCAAAAGAUAAAACCGAACUUAUGUAGUCCAUCCAAGUGGAUGCAUAUAAAUUUAACAGAAACUGAAAUUCGAAGAAAUUUAUUUAUUUUUUUAAAUAUUUUAUUUUCUUAUAUAAUGCAUGUCAGGAUACCAUUCUGGCCUUACAUAAAGCUGAUGGUCAUCUGCUGGAUGGUGAUACCGCAUUUUGAUGGUUCAUAUUAUGUCUAUCAACACCUAGUUCAUCCAUGCUUGUCCAUUGAUCCACAAGUUGUCAUGAAUUGGCUUUUCAAUGAAUCAAAAAAGAAGUUUCAUAGCAGAGAAAACUUUCUUGUUUCAGCAGACCAAUAUAUUAAGGAGAAUGGACCUGAAGCUUUGAAGAAACUACUUGCUAGGAAGGUAUGCCAUUAUAAGUAGGAUUAUCAACAAGUCAAACAGAGUUUUAUUUGAGAUGUUCAAGUAAAAAAUGACUAUAGCAGGUCAUCUAGAAUUAUGUGGUCUAAAUUCAUGUAUAUAUCUAUAUAUAAUUGUGUUCUCUUUUUUUCACAUAUGCAUGUGCAUUUAGAUUUACAUAAUUAUAUAUGCAUAAUCAGAUUCAACUGUGAUAGCCCGGGAUUUAAUUCAGUAAUCAACUCUUCUGGGAACAUGUUGGUUAUGGUUUCUCUCUCACUGUCCUCUUAUUUAUACAUGACUUUGGCUUCAGUUGAGGAGCACAAAGCCUAAUGUUGAAGUGAAAGAGAUCAAAGCACCUGCAGCACCGGAGAAAAAAGGGGAAGCGGUAUGCACUCUAAUGUGGCUAUUUUAUUUCUAUGGAGGCAGAUCCCCAGAAAAAUGUUGCUCAUGUAAAUUAGUGAUGCAUUUAAAAGAAAAACCACUUUAUGUAUGUUUCUGUGAAAAAGAGAACAAGUUUAUGGAUUAAGUGAUAUUUUUUAUGGUGAAAUAAUCAAUAAUUUUCAAAAUAAUAAUAUAUUCGUGCAUGUUUUUGCAAUUCAUGAAUUCCUUUUACGAUUGAUUCUUCUCACCUCAGUGGAAGUGUGAAGAGCCUAAUGUUGCAGAAAAGGAGAUCCAAGUAGUCAAAGUAACAGACAUAAAAAAUGGGGGGAUGGAGCAAAGAGGGUAAGUUUUCCUUUUUAUUUAUAAGGAAGGCUGUCUUCACACAAGGAUUAUUGUUAUUAUUUUUAAGACAUGAAUGUUGAAUGCAUUUGGAAUUGUCGUUGAAUCAUGUGAAGUGUGAAGGUGCAAAUGGUGCUAAGAAGGAGAUCAAAGUGAUGGAAGUAACACAGAUAACAUUUGGUGAUACAGAACAGUGGGUAAGGUUUCUUGUCAUACUUAAACGGCACCUCAUAUUUCACUAGGAUUAAUUUUGGCCUACAAACAUAUUUGGCUACAAGUUGAAGACAGAUUUCCAGAUACUGGUAGAAGUUGAGACAUAAGUAAUGAAUGAGUUUAGAAACAUGCACAACUCUUGUGUGAAACACAAUGAGAGUGGAAAAUAGCUAAGUUGAAAAAUGGCCAAAUACUAUUUUGUAGUUCCCCCCACCACUUAAGUAAUUUUUGUCAUCCUUUGUGAAUGGACAAUGCAGUCCCUUCAGUAAUUCCGCUAUAUUCAUGACUUGGUGAAGCAUAUAACCAUUAGUGUCUUGUCCUAAGUUGACCUUUAAUGAUGAUCCAUUGAGAGGGAUCUGACUUUUGUCAACCCUCUUAGAGGUUAAACAUACGGGGCUUAACCCACUUUUCAAUCUCAUUGGAUAUAUGGCACGUGGUAUCCUCUUCAUCUUGAAAGAGUGAAGUGGUCAUACUCUUUCCUCCGAGUCCAUCGUGGCCAUGCACUUCUGGCUCAUUGGGCUGAGUGAAAGGAUUCCCUUCUGCUUCAAAUCAUAGAGAGAUAUGCCAUGGUCAGCCUCUUUAAUUUGAAGGAUUGAAGUACUCAAAUCCAUUUCUUUGCAUCCAUCUUAGUCCUGCUUCCAUGUCUCAUGGUUAACCAGGAAGAUCAAGCUUCCAUCCAUGAGAUCAGCAUCUGCAGGGUUAUGACUCCACCCUUCCUUGGCAUAGGAAAGCGAUCAUUAAGCCACAUGUCGGAUGACAGAAGUCGUCAUUCAGGUUAUCUUGAGAACUAGGGAAGUUGGAAUUCUAAUUAUUGCAUAUGGUUCUUGAUGUUUAGCCAAUAUACUAUAGGAUUUUAAGCAUCAUGCCCAUGUGCAUUGUGGUUUUUUAUCAGCUAUAUGGUUUACCAAACUGAGGGAUUGAUUAUAGUCAUAAGUACCCUUUUCCCAUUAAUUUCUUGCAUGUGCUUUGCUGAGAUUAUGUUUUUGACAGUGCUAAUCAGGGCAAACCAACAAACAGCUUUAUGUUAACUUUUACAAACUGCCACAUUUUCAGGUUGAACGAUCAGACAUAAAUCUUGGUGAAACUAGAAGUAAUACAACCUGUGCUGUGGAGAUAAAAGAAAGGGCAGCAGCACUGGUGGCUGCAGAAAUUGAGGCAUGUAGAGACAAUAGAACCCCCGAGAUACCUCUGCAUAAGAAAGUCCAGAAAGAGUGGGCUUGUGCUGUAUGCCAGUUCACAACCCAAAGUGAAGUGACCUUCAAUUCCCACCUUCAAGGGAAGAGACAUCAGGCCACUUCUGAGCAGUUGAGAGCCAAAAACCAGGCAACCAAAACCAAUUGUUCCCCAUCUGCUUCAAAGGCCAAGAAAUCUGAUCAGUCCACCAAAGAGGAGCAACCAAAGUGUCCUUCCAACAAUCUGAAUUCCAAAAACAAUGGAAUCUCAGCUGCUUCAACAGUGAAGAAACCUGACGAGACCAAAGAUGAUGAGCAACAAAAGUGUGCAUCCAGCAAUGGACCAAACCAGAAGAAUAACAAAAAGCAAGAGGAGAAGGUGCUAGUUCUUGAGACCAAUGAGCAAGGCCAUCAGAAUAAUUUUGAUCCACGAUCCCACAUUUAUUUUGGGUCUCACAAGUUUCAAAUUUGCAGAAAAAUGAAAGAUGUUUGAGAGAAAAUUAAAUCAUAUUGCACUACUGUUAGGAAAAAUAUGGCUGAAUCCAAUUGCUUUUCUUCUCCAAGUCUAUUAAAAAUAUAAUUUUUUCUCCAUUCCUGACAAAAUUUAAAUUUUUUCCUUAAAAAAAAAAAAAUUAAGUUUGAUCACCUAACACAUCUUUCUAAACUCAAUCUCAACUUGAAAAAUCAAACCUUAAUGGAUGGACUAUAGAAAUAGUGAGAAAACACUUCUGGGGUUUUUUUUUUCUUCCAACAUCAAAUUUUUCUAUAUAUGGGAUUUCACAUGCAAAAGCAGGAGUAGAUUUGCUUGUGUUUGAUGUAUGUAUUAGAAAAAUUUGUCCCUUCUGGGAUGUUUAAUACUUUUCUAUUCUUUUAUAUGCAUGUUUAGCUAGAAGAUAUAGAAUCGAUACCAUUCCUUAAAAGUGAUAGCCACAACUGUGAUAAUUAAACACCAAAGAAUGUGAAGAUCUAUAUAUUCUUUUUUUUUUCCUCUCUCUUUCAAUAAUGAAGCUAAGAUGUGUUGUAAGCAUCAAAUGCAUUGUCUCUGCUUGAAUAUAUACAAAGCCAAGGACCACAAGAUGGAUAGAUAUGGGGACGCACAAAACUUCUCAAACAUGAUUAUAUUAAUCAAGAAUUCAACUAAGCUUAAAUUCAAGAUGUUGAUUUCUAGCAUCUCUGGUGCUAUAGGAUGACUAUUGAUCCUGUACUGUUAUGUGCCCUACUGAUAUAUUCUUCGGGUUGUUAUGUAUAAAUAAAAUUUUUGGGAAAGUUUGCUUGGUGGUUACACUAUCACUAUUUAGGCCAGUAAAAAUUGGAAGCCUUUGUAAAAAACUGAUGGUCCAAGAGCUAUUCUACUUCAUCAUCCAUGUAAUAUGACGAUACAAAUUUGACUAAAUGCAGCUAUAGAAGGCUUAGGACCAUAAACCAAGCCUAGUCGAUGUCACUCACCUAAAUUUAUGCAUAAAGCUUUUGGAUGGCUCAGAGUUAUAUUUAAUUACUGUUAUGUUCGCAACUAUAUUUUCAUUGGAUUUAUAGUCCAGCUUGAGAACUAGUCCUCCAUUGCACAUAAUGUCCACACAAGGCCACAGUGCCCGCUCAAAGGCCAUAGCGCUACUCAAGGAUAUAGUGCUUACUCAAGGCCAUAGAGCCCACCUAAGGCUAACGACCCAAAAGGAGAAAAAGGUUGGUUCCACGUACUCUAAUAUUUACUAGAAAAGGUUCUUCCUAUUAAAGAACAAAAAAUUGCAUUCCCUUGUGACCAAUCCAAACAGUAGACCACUGACUUGUAUAAGGCAUUAUUCACCAUGCAAGCACUUUUUCAGCAACCUACCAUCUGGCAUGAACCAUUUUGGAUUGAUUCACAAAGCAAUGGUGUUAUAUUAAGCAUAUUCAAUAUAGAACCAAAUUGUGCCUCCUUAGAUUAACUAAAAUAUUUCCAUUGCAAGAUGUGCAGAUAGGCAUAUGAUCAUGAAGUAAUUUCCUGAUGAUAAUACCCCACAAAAUAUUUCUUUUUCUCACUGAUCUCUCCUAGAUUUUCAGUUCACCCAUCCAUGGCGCCUGACUAAAAAUGGGGGCAUUUUGGAUACCCCGAGCAGUAAGUUAGCCUGGUAGGCAUCCCGUUGCAAGCAAAGUCAACCCGAGCGGUCCAUUUGACCAAAGCUUAUCCAGGCAGUAAGCGUCCAUAUACAGCUAACUGUUAUGCACCAUCAACAGGUUGAGGUUACAAGAUUAAAGAGUCAUAAUGGCCAAAUGGAAGUUACACGACUCGGCCUAUAUAAUAACAGUAUGACAAAAAAUGCAGGUAUGAAGAACUAUCACUGAAAAAAUUUAUUCCUAAAAAUCCUUUAAGCUCCUUUAAGCUAACUUGGGCAUUGGAGAGGUCUCUCCGAAGCACACUCGAGCUUACCUUUUUGUAAGACAUCGAGAACAAGAGGCAUUGAAGUGAUUGUCCGGAGGGUUGAACUUGGUCGGGAACCAACAAUACACACUAUUCAAAAAUAGGGAUCAUAUUAAAUUAUUAAUGCAACCAUAGGAAGCAAUUGAGGACAAGGGUGUUAUUUGAUUAAAAGGGUAAUUGAAAACCUAAAUUUUGAAAUUUAACCCUCCAUUCUAUUUGGCCUUAUGUGAACAAAAAUGCCUUCAUUAUUUUCUUGUAAAAAUAACUCACCCAUUUAAACCUUACAUGAAAAUACUUAAAAUGGUAAAUGAUAUGUUAAAAAUUGAUUAUUUUUCAAAUAAAACAUAAGAAGGGUCAAAUUCAUGAAAGGAUUAUUUCAUCCCUUUUAAUCAAUUAAUUCGAUUUAUUUCUUUUUAUUUUUUUUCUCUCCAUGUUAAUUUUCACAUCACCCAACAACACCACUCUUAAUUCACACAAGUUUGAAGUUUUUGAAUGAGAUAUAUUCGUAAUUAUAUUGUAAUUGUGUUAUAAUAACCAUUUCGUACUUGGAUUUGUUCUUUCAGUCCAUUUAACCUUUUUGUUUAUUCAUGUCAAAACAAUGUACUUAUAAUCGAAUCCAUUUAUGACAUGUUGAUCUUAUAUAAAUUUAUUAAUUUUAUAUAUUUAAAAAUUAUAAAAAUUAAAUAUACUUUUUCAAUUAUGAAUAUCAUAUUACUAAAAUAUUAAAUAACAAAUUAACUUGAAAUGCUAUAUAUUUCAUUAAUUAUUUUAUAAUUAAAACAUUAAAUGAAAUAAUAAACAAGUAUAAAAUAGAAAAUUCUAUCUUAGUUAGAAAUUAUAAACUGUUAUUGAGACAUAUAAGUAUUAAAAUUCUACCCAUUUCACUACCAAACAACUUAUGUUUUUAGUCAUAAUUUAACCUUAUGAUGAACACUUAAAUAAAAUUUGUCAUCUUUUUCUAUUGAUUUAUAUUUAUUUAUUUAAAAAUUUUGUCUGGCAUAAACUAUCAUCUCACAAAAUCAUCAUUGAUGAGUAGGCUAUGCCCCAGUGUAAGCAUCUCCAAAUCAAACAUCAAUGAGAGGAGUACAACCAAUCAUACAUCAUCUUAUCAAAAUGAAUCUCCGCUUUUCAAAGUCAUCGUGGUAACGUGAAGAGAGUAUUUGACCUCCUCUAAAGAAAAAACAUGUCUUGAUGUGAAAAAGAUCAAGCAAAGUGGUAUGCCUCAACAAAAAUGUGCUCAAACAUGAUCAUGCCCCGAUGUAAGUUAGUAUCUCUAAGAUCAAUCGCCAAUGAAAAGGUUAUUCCCCAGUAUAGGGCAAACUCUGAAAUGACUAAACUCCGUUGCAAGCUCUCAUAAGUGUCUGUGUCAUGAUCCAAUCAUCGCAAAAAUUUGUCAACAAUGAUGAGAAGGCUAUGCUCCUAUAAUCACAUCAAAGAAAUCACUCGGUCAUAUUACUCCAAUGUGAAAGAAAUCUAAUCACCUCCAAGGAACAGCUAUGCCUCAAAACCAUCAUCGACUGAGAGGGGGAUGCCCCUGAUCCAAUCACCACCCUAACUAACGUACCCAUCAUGAGGAACACUUGUUUGAGCUCCAUAAUGGGGAUCAACCAUUAGAUGAACAAGAUUCGAAUAUUACUUGCUCCCCAUUUCAACCAAUGAAUGAUGUACCUGGAAACCUUGUAGACAACCAUAGUUUUCAGCCUUCUUCCUCGCGAUCAUCUAGAACAGAGUCGGUAAGCUUCACUCAUUUCUUAUAAUGGACCUUGACCCACAACGUCGAACUACCUGUAUGCAAAAUUAUCCGUCCAGAAAACCCAUCCAUACAAUUCAGGUUCAAAACCCACAAGAACCACCCUAUGAAUAAACUAAUUAUAGCUGGCUUCGUUGCAAUAGGCAUUAACUUUCUUAUGCUGACAGUCCUAGCAUCAUUUACCAAAGGAUCAACAACUUUUCCAUGUCAGAGAACAUUAUCAAUCACAAUGACACCCCUGGUCCUCACUAGUUGCGAUAGCAAUUUAAAGUAUUCUUGAUUCAAAGGGUAAACAAAACAAAAAAGAAAACCCUAAGUGUGACUCCUUAUUUGAAAAAUGUGGUUUAUGAAAAACCGGAUCGAGCUUAGGGGUCAGGUUACUUAUCGGGAAGGUACAAAAAAAACCGUAGCACCCCUCUAAGUCCCUAAAAUGGGUCUCUAUUGAUAAAAUGAAGCAAUCAUGGCAAUUGGUAAGGAAAUCAUUGAGUAUCAACAUGAUCACACAUUGAGAGUUAAAGCAUGCAUGAGGAAUGGUCAAAGUGAGAAAGGAUGCGUACCUUAGCAACGAGUCCCAAUGCGCUAUCAAGAAAUUGGGUUAGUGCACAAUCAAUAAAUAUAAAAUAUAACACACAUGCAUCACUAAAUAGGGUAAUAAAUCCCCGAUGACAAACCUUGCACUUCACUCAGGUUUAUUUCUACUUCUCUGAUGUUGGGCCCCACCAAAGCUCAUUUUAUUUUGCAUGAAUCAACUCCAAUAACUCCAUUAUUCGGAAUUACGAAAUUUAAUUCUUGCUUAUUUUAAAGCAUUUUAAAAAUAGAGGAGAUAUGAGAAUUGCUCGCCAGAAAAGAAGAUGGCGGCAAAAUUUUAAUGAAAAACGAGUUUUUGGAACCUAAGAAAAAUGUUAAGGAUGGAAAAUUUUGGAGGUUUGAAAUUAAUUAAAAAUUAGAAUUGAGGAAUUUAUUUACAAAAUGGGGUUUAGGAAAAUUAUUUUCAAAAAAAAAAAAUGAUGAAAUGAGAGAUGGCACGUGACACAAGGGUGGCCAUGCUGAAGGCGUUCUCUUCUGGCCCAAGCUGGAAAUGCACUCCAAUUAUCCUUCUUUUCUGGUAUAACACCUUCAUCAAAAUAAAUAGCUUUUGCACCAUACUCUGAUAGACAAGGACCAAUAACAAUGCCUAUAUUUGCCUUAAGUAGACAAAGUAAGUCACCCAUUGAACCUCCAAUAUAAAUUGUCAAGUGCUCUGUGUCAUUACUGCAUCCCUCCUUCAAGAUGUCCUUAGAAACCUAAAGCUUUUCCACGACAUACUCCAUCUUCUUAAUGAUUUCACCCGUGGAAAUGGAUUCUUCACAAGCCAACUCAUUUGAAUAUACUCUCAAAACACCCAUAUCACCUGAUGAAAAUGCUGAUCUAACGAAAUCGCCACACCAACAGUAUGAAAGUCCAUGAACAUCUGCUUUCAGAUUAUUAUUUUUAAGAAUCUUUUGGAAGAAACCUGUGCAACCAUCUUGAAGAAUUAGACCUUGACCAACCUGUUUUAUAUCAUCUGAAUUUAAACCCUUCAAUACUCCAGACUGAGUCACUCUUGAAUCUGCCUUUUCCUCAAAAUCAGAAAGUUGCUCAAGUGCUUUACAUAAGCCUUCAUAAUUGAAUUUUUCCACUGUUUCACUGGGGACGAUGCUUCCCAUGCAUUUUUCAAGCUCUUCAGUAUGCUGGGUAGAUAGAACACCCCAUGUGUGUGUCCAGAUCACCAUGAGUGACCAUUUGAACCUUGACGAAUGAGAGAGUACAUAACAUUUAAGCACACAGGACAUAUAUUAACAUUCUCCAUUAGCUUCUCUUUGCCUUUGUCCACCUCUUGACCUCCCAUGCAGCCAACUGUGAAGACCACGUCCAGGUGCAGUCACGUGGUGACACAUCUCAUGGUCUUCCUCAUCCAAUAAAUCACAUGCUCUGUUAAAUCUGCUACCCGAAUGGAUACCUCCUAUCCAUCAACCUGAAUAUACUCCGAGCUUUCUUCAUAAAACCCAAGAAACUCCAGAAGGCAUCAUGGUUCUCCUCCAUCAUUGAAAUGAUUAGGGAUAGUAAAUCACUCAUCCCUUAGCAAUAUCCCAUUUUUAAACCAUAGGGUGCGUAGGCUUCUAGAAUAGUAGCAAAGUGAGCAACACGGAAAAUCUUGCGUGGAUCCAAGUUCCAUGAUGGUGAUCGUAGCCUCACCUUUGAAAUCACAAGACCCAGAACCCAUUCGUUCUUCCUGGUAAUAACUAUCAGAUGCAUAGGAGGCAGGGUUCUUCAGAUUGUUGAUUUGGUAAAAGCCUCUUCUGGUUGAACCCCUGAAUGAUUCACUUUUCUCAGUCCGCAAACCUAGUUCAGAACAGCCCGCAAGAUCAGAACCUUAACCUAGGCGUGGAGAUCCAGUGUUGUAUAACGCCUCAAUUGUCGGAAGCAGCCAUGGCCCAAACAAUGAUAUAAUGGUCAGCAAGUUGUCCCCAAGGACCAUGACAGUGAUGAGCAUUUCCGGGCAGCGCGUCACCACGUUCCACGUCGCGACGGUAAUGGCUAUGGACUGAGUGUCAUGGUCAGGGAGCUUGAUGAAGCAGGUGAAAAUCUGGUGUUUUAGAUUCUGAGGCAAUGACUGCUUGAUCGGUCGGAUUCUAGUACCGGCGUUACAUUGGGGAGGCAAUCUUAAAGUUCCAACGGAGGUAGUAGUGGACUAAUAUUCCUCAAUAACCAAACUUGAGUUUCUCACUUUCCGCUUCUCAAGGCAUUCACCUGAAACGCUUCAGGCGCCCAAACCCUUUCUGCUCAUCAGUAUAAUCACGCGCAUGAAAGUCUUAACUGCCUUCUAAACUUCACAACUUCAUCUUGCAUCUGGGUCAUCGUCGGCACGAACUUAUCACCUGAUUCAGUUAAUAUCCCCAUAUAACAAGUUCCAAUGAAGUCGCAACUUUGCAUCUUCUUUUCUGCGAUUACUUUGAUUCUCAAAGCCGAUUACUUGUUGCAGUCCAUAGGAGAUUCAAUAAUCAAACAUCAUGCACAAGCAAAAAGGCAACAAAAUACAUCGGCAUGUGGCCCAUACACCCUCCAAAAUCUUCACUCAUUUAGUAAGUUUUAGAUUCAAAAGAGUUAGCCUUCUGGUGAGCAACCCGAUACCCAUAACGAAUGAUGUAUCUGAAACACCUUUCCCACGUGGCCCUUGAAGGAUUCACUAGAAGGUGACCAUGCAUAGUAGGUCUUCACUCGCAGGAGAAUGAGAAGGAAAUAAACCUAAAGGGGGGUUGACAGCGUAGUCUAGAAGGUGAUGAGCUGAGCGGGUGGGGGUAUUAGGGUGGUCAAGUUCAGUGGGUAUGAAGGGUGGAAAGAUGGCAUGAUAGAGGAAUAAGCAGCUGAUAGUGGGUGCGAUGAUAUAAGGUAGGUUGACUAUGGAGAGUAUGGCAUUAAAGGAUGAAGACUUAGAGAGAGAGAGGUGGGUUUAAGGGUAUGGUGAGAUGGAGGGUUGAGGGUGAUAGGCUUGGAUAGUUGCAUGAGGAGGAUGAAAGGUGGGUAUGGAAAAUGUGCAUGGGUAGGAAAUGGGUAUAACAAUGGGUGUGAAUAUUGAGAGGUAGUGAAAUGAAGGCAGCCUUGCUCGUAUGGAUCAGUGUCGGAUUGAGUUAAGAAUGGUGAGAGAAAGGGAUUCGAUGAAUAUUGAAUGAUGGAAAAUGGUGAUUGGUUAGAUAGGGAUUUGUGGUCGAAUGGAAAUAGGAGACAUGAACAUAGAGAUGAGUGUGAUGGAUGAUAGUGGGCAUGAAGGGUAUUGGAUUUGUUCAUGGGUAUAGUGGUUAAAAGAGUGGUGAGAAGAAAAAAAAAUGGCCAUGUAAAUAGCAAUUAUACAUGUGGGCCCGUGAUUGCAAACGGGACUGCAUUGUUGCAUCUCAUGCUGAACCCUCACCUCCUUCUAGGAUCAUUUUCUGCAUCAAAGCUAGAUAAACUUAGAUGGUAUUUCCUGCCAAUUUUGGAUGCCCCCCACUUUGGAAAUAUUUCCUUUUCACCCAUCAGAAUAUGCUUAUCAGGUGUACUUGACUCAGGUUCAUUCCCAUAUUGCCUCUCUGAUUUAUGAUCUUCAAAGGUUUUGCAUGAAGGAAGCCUUUCACUGCAUUCCCCUUCAUCCACCAGACCUUCAGAGCAUCGUUUCCAACAAAAGCAACCUUGACUCUUCUAGUCCCAUCAGAAAAAAGUCUGAAUAUCCUCAGUUUAUGUCAUCCCUUGAUGCCCAACUCAGAAAUGAUCCAAAAAACAGUCAUCUCCCAUAUUUGGCUUCCCAGAAACACCUCGACUCAGAUGGCCAGUCCAAAUGUGAUACCCAACAUUCUAAAAAUGCUAAAAACAGAGGAGAUGAUGAAGAAAAACAGAGCAUGUAUAAAAGAAAAAAAAAAGGACUGUUAAAUCUCACUCCAUUCCAUAAAUGCUAAUGGGGUGGAUAUGGUGGAAUCAAAAGGAAGCAAGAGCGUGAUCUUCAAAAUCAAAAGCAAUGAUGGAUCCAUAUUCAAAACGUUCCAGAAUAGAGAAAGACACAAAUAAGGAGCAGGGUUUUUUUUUGUUACUGGCAGGAAGAUAUUUUUUCUAGAGAGUAACUAGAGAGAAAAAUAGGAAGAAAAGGGAAGAGCAUAGAAGACAUCUACAUAGGAGAGUAUUCAUUGUUGUGAGGAGUAGUAGAGAGCUUAGGAGGAGUUACAAAGAGAGUGAGUUUGGUUAGAGGAGGAAGUUUUGUUGGUUUUUCAGAAAGGAUUCUAGCUUGAGUGAGAGCCAUUCUAGAGAGGGUUAGAGAGGAGAAAGGUGUGUUUUGAGCAGCAAAGACACGAAGCAAAAUAGAGCAGCCAGGAAAGAGAAGCAGAAAAUCAAAAUUACUAAAAAAUUAGUGAAAGCUGUGAAAUUUCAUAUUGUUACUAAUUAUUAUAAUUUUUUUUUGUAUUUUCAAUAUUUCAACCAAUAUUUUAUAUAAUUAAAUUUAAAUUAUAAGAAUUAUAUUAUUAAUACACAUAACUAUCUUAAUGUUUUAACAAUGUAUACUUAUUUAAAUUUAUUUCAAUUUUUUUAUUUUUUUAUAAAUAUCUAAUUAGACUUAUAAUUCAUUGAAAUUAUUCAUUUUUUUUUUACUUCAUAAACCAAUUAUAUUACUUUUUGUAUUUUCAAUAUUCAUUUGGAAAAAAUAAUUUCAAUUUAAAAUAAAAUAAAUUAAUUAACUCUCAAUUUAUAAAUUGUGUCAUUGAAUUAUUUUUUAUUUAUAAUAUUUAGUUUAUUUUAAAUUUAAUUUUUUUUCUUCACCUUUUGGUUUAUCACUUUAUAUUAAAAAAUAAAAUAAAAUUGAAUUUCUUUUAAUUUAUAUUUUCACAAAUUAUUCAAUAUUUUUUUAAUUUUUAUAAAAUAAAUCCUCAGAUUAUAUAAUUGGAUGUUGUAAAGAGUUAAAAUUUUUGUGUUGCAUUGAAUUAUUUUUUCUAACAAAAGUAUAUUUGGGUACCGUAGACAUUAUAUCCAUAUCUUAACGUAUUAUAUACUUUUAUUUUGUGCAAUUAGCAAUUGAGCGGAAGACGCGGAGCCGGCUAACGGAAAUACCGCGUGUCACGCGUGUCCCUUCCCGUACCAAGUCUCAACUGCUUCAAGAUUUCCGACGCGCCCUUCUUCGCUUAACUCUUAAGUCUUUUCUUCCACUCUUCCUUAAACCCAUCACAUUUCGCCGCGUGGACCUAAGUCUCAAUGUCCUUGUGUUCAUACGAUGUAUGUUCCCCCAAUUCCUCAUCUACACUGAAACUCCAUACUCGCCUACUCAAUCACUUCUCUACUCUAGAGUCUGGAUGCUUAUCUCUGCGCGUGUCGAUGGCUCUUCACCCCAGCGAGUAUGGCAUUACAAGGGCAAUAUCGUCAUUAAAGACACAACAGAGUGUCUAUUUUAUUUAAGCUGUACGUAAUCGUGAUUGACUUCUUAGUAUCCUUUUGCUCCUAGUCUUCUCCCGCGUCUCUUAUAAAAACUAAAGAAAACCACUCCAAGAGAGCACACUACAAGAAUCUUCUUCCUUUUUUUCUUUCCUCUUUCUCUUUACAGAUAAACUGAGAAAGCCCAGCUCAUCCCUCAAUUCCCAGAUGGGUUUCAUGAAUGUUCUCAAGUUCUCAGCUGCAUGCUUUGAUCUUCUUGGCUGGUAUGUUGUCCACGCGUUUUCUUGCCAUUGGAAAUUUUUGGGAAAUGAAGUGGAAUUCUCUGUUUGAGGACAAACAUGGGAUUUUCUUUGAUUUCUCCCUGUUGGUUUUAUCUAUAUUCUUUGAAUUACCCACAUUCUUGUCAUUGAUUGUUAGUCAUUUGUUUGGAUUUCUACUUGCAGGCCUCUAUGUGCACUGGGUUAUCCUCUGUAAGUCUUGGUCUUACACCUCAAGAUAUGAUGAUUCAUUUACUCUUUUCUUGUUCUACGAAUGGUUCAGUUACAUUUAUUGUGUUGGGAAACUGAAAAGGAAAAGGAUUAUUAGUUAUUAUCGUAAUAAUCAUCAACAUCAUCUCGGUUCUUCACAGAUGUGCUUCAAUUCGGGCAAUUGAGACUAACUCAAUCUCAGACUUUCGGAAGUUGGUGGCGUAUUGGGUUCUAUUUUCCUUGAUUUCACUCUUUGAUCAUGCUUUUUCCAAGCUCCUUGAAUGGUAAUUUUGCUCAACUGCAUUCCACUAUAUGUGACUCUGUUUGUUUCAUUUCUUUGCCCUUAAGGAAUUUGGAGUUGCUUUUUUCAGUUUUCUUUCCUAUGAAAAUAAUCGAGAGGUCUCCAUGUAUUUUAUAUUCCUUCAUUUCUCUGCUUUGACAAAGGCCCACAUUCUGAUCAGCAGAAAGGUUAUAACAUUUGAAAAAGAAGUGCUUUAUUUUUGUUUUUUGUUAGUACAAUAAUUUUCGUUUGGAUAAAUGGUCUGAAGGGUGUUUGUGUUUGGCUGAGUUCAUGGAAUUUUCUAGCUAAUUUGGGAUUUAUUCUCAAUUUCAAGAUCAUUGUGGAUAUGUCAGAAAUUAAUGAAAUAUAAACGGUGGAAUGUGAUUUUCUUGUUUAAGAAAAGUUUUUCUUUGAAAAUACGGGUGCACCUGACCUACCUUAUUGUGCUACUUGGAACACAAAACAUUAGUACAGGUAAUUUAUUAACUAAAUUGUACACUUUUUGAUAGUUCAAGGAGGUGGUUUUCUUCUUUUAGGGUGUCAGCUUUGGAAAUAGGAUGGAUCUAAAAGUUUUUAUGUCUCAUCUUUAUAGGGAACUUGAAAGCAUGGAUGCACUUAUUUCCAUGGAAUUUGGCUUCCUUGAAAUCAAAUUAAGCUUUAUGCAUCAUUUGGAUGCUGAGAAACAAAUGGAAAUAGAAAAUUCAGAAUCUGACAAGUUUUUGUAGGGCAACUGGAUCUAAUCUCUUAGUCGAAGCCUAAUUGGGGCAAAUGCUGAUCAUCUUUGGACCCCAUUGAAAGCUCUAAUCUGUGCACAAUUCUAAUGUUUUUGUUUUCUUCAUUUCUUUUUCAACUUUUCACAAUAGAUGUCAAAGGUUAAAACCAAAUUUACGCAGUCCAUCCAAGUGGAUGCAUAUAAAUUUAACAGAAACUGAAAUUCGAAGAAAUUUAUUUUCCCUUUUGUAAAUGGUGUUUAAAUAUUUUAUUUUCUUAUAUAAUGCAUGUCAGGGUACCAUUCUGGCCUUACAUAAAGCUGAUGGUCAUCUGCUGGCUGGUGAUACAGCAGUUUGAUGGUUCAUAUUAUGUCUAUCAACACCUAGUUCAGCCAUGCUUGUCCAUGGAUCCACAAGCUGUCAUGAACUGGCUCUUCAAUGAAUCAAAAAAGAAGUUUCAUAGCAGAGAAAACUUUCUUGUUUCAGCAGACCGAUAUAUUAAGGAGAAUGGACCUGAAGCUUUGGAGAAACUACUUUCUAGGAAGGUAUGCCAUUAUAAGUAGGAUUAUCAACAAGUCAAACAGAGUUUUAUUUGAGAUGUUCAGGUAAAAAAUGACUAUAGUAGGUCAUCUAGAAUCAUUUGGUCUAAAUUCAUGUAUAUAUCUAUAUAUAAUUGUGUUCUCUUUUUUUCACAUAUGCAUGUGCAUUUAGAUUUACAUAAUUAUAUAUGCAUAAUCAGAUUCAACUGUGAUAGCCCGGAAUUAUUUCAGUAAUCAACUCUUCUGGGAACAUGUUGGUUAUGGUUUCUCUCUCACUGUCCUCUUCUUUAUACAUGACUUUGGCUUCAGUUGAGGAGCGCAAAGCCUAAUGUUGAAGUGAAAAAGAUCAAAGCACCUGCAGCACCGGAGAAAAAAGGGGAACAGGUAAGUUCUCUAAUGUGACUAUUUAAUUUCUAUGAGGCAGAUCCCCAGAGAAAUGUUGCUCAUGUAAAUUACUGAUGCAUUUGAUUCAAUGGCAUGGUUUUAAAAGAAAAACCACUUUAUGUAUGUUUCUGUGAAUAAGAGAACAAGUUUAUGGAUUAAAUGAUAUUUUUUAUGGUGGAUUAAUCAAUAAUUUUCAAAAUAAUAAUAUAUUCGUGCAUGUUUUUGCAAUUCAUGAAUUCCUUUUAUGAUUGAUUCUUCUUGCCUUUUUUCUCACCUCAGUGGAAGUGUGAAGAGCCUAAUGUUGCUCAAAAGGAGAUCCAAGUUGUCAAAGUAACAGAGAUAAAAAAUGGGGGGGAUGGAGCAAAGAGGGUAAGUUUUGCUUUUUAUUUAUAAAGUAGGCUGUCUUCACACAAGGAUUAUUAUCUUUAAGACAUGAAUGUUGAAUGCUUUUGGAAUUGUCCAUGAAUCAUGUGUAGUGUGAAUGGCCUAAUGCUGCUAAGAAGGAGGUCAAAGUGACAGAAGUAACACACAGAACAUUCGGUGGUACAGCACAGUGGGUAAGGUUUCAUGUCAUAUUUAAAUGGCUCCUCAUAUUUCACUAGGAUUAAUUUUGCCCCUACAAACAUAUUUGGCUACAAGUUAAGACAGAGUUCCAGAUGCUGAUAAAGUUGAGACAUAAGUAAUGAAUGAGUUUAGAAACAUGCACAACUCUUGUGUGAAACACAAUGAGAGUGGAAAAUAGCUAAGUUGAAAAAUGGCCAAAUACUAUUUUGUAGUUCCCCCUACCACUUAAGUAAUUUUUGUCAUCCUUUGUGAAUGGAAAAUCCAGUCCCUUCAGUAAUUCCGUUAUAUUCAUGACUUGGUGAAGCAUAUAACCAUUAGUGUCUUGCCUUAAGUCGACCUUUAAUGAUGAUCCAUUGAGAUGGGUCUGACUUUUGUCAACCCUCUUAUUCCCUUGAUCAUAGAGGUUAAACUUAGGGGGCUUAACCCACUUUUGAACCUUAUUGGAUAUAUGGCACAUGGUAUCCUCUUCAUCUUGAAAGAGUGAAGUGGUCAUACUCUUUCCUCUGAGUCCAUUGUGGCCAUGCACUUCUGGCCCAUUGGGCUGAGUGAAAGGAUUCCCUUCUGCUUCAAAUCAUAGAGAGAUAUGCCAUGGUCAGCCUCUUUAAUUCAAGGGAUCGAAGUACUCAAAUCCAUUUCUCUGCAUCCAUCUUAAUUCUGCAUUCAUGUCUCAUGGUUAACCAAGAAGAUCCAGCUUCCAUCCAUGAGAUCAGCAUCUGCAGGUUUAUGACACCACCCUUCCUUGGCAUAGGAAAGGGAUCAUUAAGCCAUGUGUUGGAUGACAGAAGUCAUCAUUCAGGUUAUCUUGAGAACUAAGGAAGUUGGAAUUCUAAUUAUUGCAUAUGGUUCUUGAUGUUUAGCCAAUAUACCGUAGGAUUUUAAGGAUCAUGCUCAUGUGCAUUGUGGUUGUUUAUCAGCUAUAUGGUUUACCAAAAUGAGGGACUGAUUAUGGUCAUAAGUACCUUUUUCCUAUUAAUUUCUUGCAUGUGCUCUGCUGAGAUUAUGUUUUUGACAGUCCAAAUCAGGGCAAACCAACAAACAGCUUUAUGUUAACUUUUACAAACUGCCACAUUUUCAGGUUAAACGAACAGAGAUAAAUCUUGGUGAAACUAGAAGUAAUACAACUUGUGCUGUGGAGAUAAAAGAAAGGGCAGCGGCACUGGUGGCUGCAGAAAUUGAGGCAUGUAGAGACGAUAGAACCCCCAAGAUACCUCUUCAUGAGAAAGUCCAGAAAGAGUGGGCUUGUGCUGUAUGCCAGGUCACAACCCAAAGUGAAGCGACCUUCAAUUCCCACCUUCAAGGGAAGAGACAUCAGGCCACUUCUGAGCAGCUGAGAGCCAAAAACCAGGCAACCAAAACCAAUUGUUCCCCAUCUGCUUCAAUGGCCAAGAAAUCUGAUCAGUCCACCAAAGAGGAGCAACCGAAGUGUACUUCCAACAAUCUGAAUUCCAAAAACAAUGGAAUCUCAGCUGCUUCAACAGUGAAGAAACCUGAUGACACCAAAGAUGAUGAGCGACAAAAGUCUGCAUCUAGCAAUGAACCGAACCAGAAGAAUAACAAAAAGCAAGAGGUACAGACCAAUGAGCAAGGCCAUCAGAAGAACUUAAAGCAAACUGGCGAUGGAAUGAAAGAGUUGAGAUUAUGCUGCAAUAUCUGUAAUGUAAGCUGCACAAGUGAGCUUGACAUGGCCUCUCAUCUCAAUGGAUGGAGGCACUUUAAUAUGAUAAAGGAGGCGUCUGAAUUAUGGUGCAGUAACUGCAAUGUAAGGUGCAACAGUGAGGCUGUCAUGGCCUCUCACCGAAAUGGGAGGAGGCACUUGAAGCAGCUGAAGGAACGGUCGGGAUUAUAGUGCAGUAUCUGUAGCGUGAGAUUGUGUUAGGAAGAGGUGGAAUGGGUUCCAAUCAGGAAUUAAGACUCGGUUCCAAGACAUGGAAAGUGUCUUUAGAUUAUGUUAUCUCCAUUUUUUUUAUUGUGAGAGGGGAGUAUAAGGAAUGAAAAUAAAUAUAUAUAUAUUUUUUAAUAGAGAUGAAUUUGAUAAUUUUAAUUAUUGUGUUUUGAUGUAUUUAGGAAUGUAAAAUUAAAAUAAUUAUUUAUUUUCAUUUUAGUAUUUGACAAUAAUAAAAUUAUGAAUUAAAAAAUAAUGUGAUAAUAAUACAUUUAUAUUUAAUUUAAAAUAUUUUUUAUUUUAUUUUAGAAGAAUAUGGGUUAAAUUCUUUUUUUAAAUAAUAAGCUUAAGAAAAAUAAUUUUUACUCAAUAAAUAAAAUUAAUCAUAAAAAGUCAUAACAACCUAAUAAAAAUAUAGGGGUAAAAUAAUAAUUUUAAAAUAUUAUUUAAGUUAUCCAAACAAAUUUGACUCUUCAUUCUCUCUCUUGAACCAAAUACGGUCUUUUAAGCGUUUGUCAACUUAUUUUUUUUUGCAAAAUAUCAAUAUUUUACUAAUAUUUUUAUCGAUUAUUUGCCAAUAUUUAUCGCCACGUCACCAAUUCUUUGAGUUUGACUUUCAAAAUUUUGAAAUGAUAUUUGAAGUCCAGUUCAGCCCAAAUCACUACACCCAUGAUUUUUCCCUUUUCUUUUUCUCCUUAAUUUUCACAUCACCCAACAACACUACUCUUAAUUCACACAAAUUUGAAGGUUUGGAACGAGACUUCUUCCUAAUUAUAUUGUAAUUAUGUUAUAAUAACCAUGUCGUAUUUGGAUUUAUUUAUUCAGUCCAUCUAAAUCUUUUGUUUAUUCAUGUAAAAAGAAUAUAGUUAUAAUCGAAUCCAUUUGUGACAUAUUCAUCUUUUAUAAAUUUAUUAAUUUUAUAUAUUUAAAAACUAUAAAAAUUAAAUAUAUUUUUUCAAUUAUGAAUAUCAUAUUACUAAAAUAUUAAAUAACUAAUUAACUUGAAAUGUUUUAUAUUUCAUUCAUUAUUUUAUAAUUACAACAUUAAGUGAAAUAAUAAAUAGGUUAAAAUAUAUAUUUUAUUUUAGUUAAAAAUUAUAAAUUGUUAUUGAGACGUAUAACUAUUAAAAUUCUACCCAUUUGACCAUCAAACAAACAACUUAAGUUUUUAGUCAUAAUUUAAGCUUCUGAUAAACUCUAUUUCCAUAAAUUAGAAACCGAAAUCAAUUUCUUCUUAGACUCAAAAACAUAAAGACAAUCUUUUAAUUCUAGAAGACAUCUAUCAUUUAAGAUAAGGGUAACAUAUCCCAUUGCCUAAACAACAACUCUUGCUUCAAAAGCCAAUGUCAAGUACAUAUCCCUAUCAUUCAACCUUUCCCUUAGCUAAAACCCCUAUAAAGAAUUAUAAACAUAAUCAAUGGCUCCAAAAUUUAUCCACCAAGAGUUAGUGGAAUCCAACACUAAACAUAAUUCAACUAUAAGAGAAUGAUGCAUAGUUGACUAUCUCUUCAAGAACUAAGGACAUUCCUUCUUCUUCUAAUGGCAUUUUUUACCACAAAGGAAACACUUGUCAUGACCCUUACUCUUCUUCUUCUUCCCCUUAGCCUUAAACUUCCCCUUCUGCUUGAUGAACUCUAUAGUGUUCUUCUUAUUUUGGCUAGAAAAACCUAAAGAACCCUUAACUGCCAUAUAAAUACCUCUCUGGUCCUUGAGAAUUCCCUCAGUCAUUUUGUGUUCUCUCAUUAGUUCAAUUGUAGUUUAAGAAAAAUAAUGUUUUUUAUUUUAUUUUAUGUGAUUGAACUUGGAAUGAAUUUCCAAGUUGCAUACAUACUUGGGUUGAGAUCAAGUCAUAACGUAGUUUAAGAAAAAGAUUUUUUAUUUUUUAUGUGAUUGAACUUGGAAUGAAUCUCUAAGCUACCUACGUAUCCAAGAUGGGAUCAAGUUCUAACAUAGUCACAAUGCAGUUCAAGAUUUUUUUUUUUCUUUUUUUGUGCUCUAACUUUUGUCAAGACUAAAGAUCUUAAUCUUGCAAGCAUGUCCUAACUUUUGUCUAGGUCACCUUUCCAAGUUUUCAACUUAGCAAACAUUUUUUUUUUUUGUUCUCUAACGUUUGCCAAGACAAAAGAUUUUAAUCUUGCAAGCAUGUCAUAACUUUUACCUAAGUCAGAUUUUUAGGUUUUCAAUGUGGUGGAUUUUUUUGUUUUUUAUUUUUUAUUUUUUAUUUUUUGUGUCGUAGGCAAUUUAGCUCAUACGGCCCAGAAGCGAUGUGUAGUUUGUUGGGAUUCAACCCUUAAAAGCAAAACAUGAUGUAACAAAGUUAGACUUAACUAUCCCCUUGCUAUCAUUUUGGUGUAUUAACAUUGAUUUAAACAUUCAACUCAUAUUUUACAUUGUACAUGACUUAGGUGCAUUAGGAGUUGCUCAUAAGAUACAUGGAUUCCUUGUAAGUAGAUGAGUUAUCCAUAGUCAGUUCAUGGAUUUGGGCAAUCUAGUAGAGACUGUAAUGCACCACCUCUUAAUUGAAGAGAUGACUUGUCUUGACAGUUGGGAUAGGUUUCCUAUGGUGAGUGCACUAGUAUAUAUGAUGCACAUUGGAUAGGACCUACGGUAAAUCAUGAGCAAAGCUAUCAAUUGUCAUGAUUCACCAAGUUACGAUACUGCAUGGACUCUCAAUCUUGAGAGGACAUUGAACCUGUGCCAAAAUCAACAAAAAGCUUUCACCUAUAGAUGAGACCUUAAAGUGAUCAUAUAUCCCUAUGGAUUGAGUCACUAUUGAUGAAGGUUGGUGGUAAUAGGUAUUCUCAAUAGAGGCACCAUGAUAUCUCAUGAGAUUGAGACGGUGUGUCCCCUUGGGUGAUACAAAGGACAUGUGAUCAUAAAAUCUGUGACCAUAGUAAUUCUUUUAUUGAAAUUUGACAUAUACCCCUUCGAGCUAGAGUAUGUCAGUUGAUUACAUAAUAAGUGGCAUCUAUAACUUAAGGAUUUGAGAGGUAAUCUUGAUAGGUGAUAGCACUACCUUGUUAGAUUAUGGACACCAGUUCAUGGGGAAUCUACAUGCAGUGGAUGAUAUGUCACGAACGCGAGCUUCAUAUCGUUGUUAUUAACAUAGGAUACUGGAGUGCAAUUGAUUCUCUUUAGUAGAAUGUUGAAUCAACUUCAAAAUGGAUUAUGAGGGAGCCAAUACUCCUAUGGGUCUUAAUGGUCCCCACUCUGAGCUCAUAUACCAUGAUGACACAGUUUAUGAGGGUUUGAUUGGCUUUAUGUUCAUUUUUGUGCAUAAGGGCAUUUUGGUAAUUACACAAGGUUACAUAGGGGAUAGUCAAUAAGGUCUUUAGAUUGGGCCAAUUGAUUAAUUAGAUGACCUUAUGUGGUUAAUUAAUCAAUUAUGAUAUGUUUAGGCUAGAUUAAAUGACCCAAGCCUUGAUGAAUUUAAGUCACUUAAGCCUAGCAGAUAACCUUAUAAAUACCCUCUUAUGGGUUAGGGUUUCCUAAUGACUUUCAGUUAAUCAUCUUCCAUCCCUAGAAAGAGAAAGAGAGCCAAAUCUUUCUCCCUUCCAUUGCCCACACUUUGGUAUGCCAAGAUCAUGGUUCAAGUCACUGGGAGGAAGAUCUUGGGUGUACAAGACCUUCGGACUCUUUAAGUUUCUUCUUCGUUGGAUGAAUUUUUAUUUGGGACACAUCUAGAUCAUAAGUAUGUGUUAGAAAAUUUGGCUAAUUCAACUUAAGGUAAUCACUCUAGAGGAGGGGUGAAUAGGGUGAUGAUCUUUUUUUACAAAUUUAAAUUAUGUGAAUGCAAGAGACAAUUAUACUAUGCAAAUAUAUAGUAAAACCAUAUAAAAAUAAUUGCAUAUAAAGUACAAGGGUAGAAAAUAGAGAAUAUAAACACAAGAUUUUUAUAGUGGUUUGGUGCAACUCGGCCUACAUCCAUUCUCCUCUAGCUUCAAUCCCAAGUUUGAGGUUCCACUAAUUCAAGGCUUCCAACCUAACCCUUCAAGCAAUACAAUUGGAUUAUGGUUCCAAUCAAACCUUUUGGACUUUUGGCUCUAAGCACCUUUUACAAUCUUUGAUUCGUGCCUAACUGGUGUUUGCCCUGUUGAUUGGUGUUCAAUCAACUGAUGUGCUUUGAUUUCAGUCCUCAGACGAGAGUAAUCAACAAAAUUUAUAAACCUAUUUCACCAUAUACUAGGGUAGCAUUAGCUAGCAUAGCAUAGUGGCUCUAGGAUCGUCCACAGGGAUGGGUUUUCAAAUUACAAUUGAUAUUAGUUCAAAAACUGAAUUGGUGUUUUUUCUUUUCAAGGUUAGCUUUAAAAGAAAACAUAAGUAUGUGUGAAAAGGUUGGUUUUAAGUGAAACCAAAAAUAAAGUAACUGAAAUUACUUACAAAGAAAAGUGCUUCUUGGAGUUUUAGAUCACUAGGCUCAAGUUCCUUAUACAAAAAGAGAGAUUCCGAUCACUUGGAUCUUUUCCUAGCAUUGGGGAUUUAACAUAUAGUUAUUUCCCGAACCGGUGCGGUACAGAUGCUUCCCCUUAAUGGUUUCAAACACUAAAUCUCUAUCACUGAAUCAUCUUGUAAUGGUUCAUACCUCUCACCUGGUAUUGGUCAUUUAAGGUGAUCAUUAACCUUGGAUUACCCGUCAAAAGCUCGCAAAAGAUAACUAAUGAAUGUCUCCUAGGAGUCCAAAAGCUUACCAAGUGUUGGCUAUUCUAGAUAAUCCUACCUUUAAACCAUCUCCCAAAAGCUCGCAAGAGAUAAACUAGUGGAUCUCAAUGGACGGAGUCCACUUGCCUUACCAAGUGUUGGCCCAAGUGAUUUUAAGGGAUUUUAAGUUAACUAAAAAGAUAAAAACCAUUAACGGGUCACACUUUCUCUUCAUUAAAACCUGAAACAAUGAAACUUCCACUUUUGUAUACGAAACCUUACCUAGCUUCCUUCACUCCAAGAAACAAAAAGCCUAGCCACUCAUCCUCUAGGAAAACAUCCUCAGAGUUUGAUUUGGUAGAAAUAAAAAUAAAAGAGAAAACCAAAUGUGAAGGUAAGGCCGAGCAGAGCUCUGUGUAUUACUUUAUGAAAAACUAUACAAAAUUUGUCUCUAAGAGAAACUCCCCCGAGAUCUCUUUUAAAAGAAAAUUACAAUAGAUAUCAUAUAAAGAGGCUAUUCACCCCUCUUGCUAACUUCCCAACCAUGAAAACUUGUCAAUGGUGGGUUACAAGGAGAAAAUAGGGAUUUACACACAAAUAUUUGAAGAUAAACAUCAAACUGAGUCGGUGCGCAAAUAUCUCAGAUUACAAGUGGAUUUCGCAAGUUCAAACGCAACUUGCAAAAAUUUUGCAAGUUGAAAUUAUGGUUUCGCAAGUUGCGAAAUUGUCCUGCAACUAAUCAGCUCUCUGUCCUACAACAAUUCCUUUCCUCUUCCUAUUUCGCAAGUUGUGAGAAUUUCGCAAGUUGGAUUCCACAACUUGCAAAAUUGUUGGAUGGUUGAUUUCUUUUGUGAUUUUCUUCCUUGCAUCCUCAUUUGGCUUUGGCAAAGGGUUAUGAAGCUCCAAAGCUUAGUUUCUUCAUGAAUUUGAGCUUCAACUUGCUUUGCCAUGAACUAUACAAAGAUCUCCCUCAUUCUUGGAUUGCUUUGGUGAUAAAAAAGCUAUGAAAAACACCAAAACUUAACACAAUUUGAUUAGAAACGAUUGUAAGGGUCUUUAACAUGCCAAUUGAGUUAAAAGGUAAUAGCUACUACUCAAAAGUGUUUAAAAGAGUUAAUUACAAGCUAUAAAAUGACCCUUUUUGAAGUUCAACCCCUUAAGUGAUACCCCUUAAGUGAUACCCCUUAAUUCAAGAGAUGUCUUACUCUUAAACAACCCCUUAAGUGAUACCCCAUACUUGAGAUUCCCUAAGUGAUGCCUCACACUUAGAUUUUUCAUCUCAAAGAUUUACAAAUGAAGAUAGGAAAUAAUCUCACAAAAUCUUAAUACAAAACAUUAGGCUCAAAUGAUACAAGAUAAACUAUGAUUGAAUGGUGCACUAAUAAUAUGCAAGUUUUAAAACAAUGAGUACUAAAAAACACUCUCCUAAGGUUCAAAUAUAUUCAAGAAAGAUUUAAGAAGGUUAAACUCUUGAAACAAUAAAGAUUGAAACCUUUUUAUGGAGGAGAAAUGCCAAACUAGUUGUUGGGGGUUUGUCCAGUCGAGUUCUGGUUUGACCGGUUCACUAACCGUUAGCAUUUAAUGCAUGAUAGGUGAUCAUUGGGCCUUGACCAUCCCUCGACCAGUACUCAACCGGAUAAAGUUCAACCUUAAUCAAUCGAAUAAGCAUUCUAGAAUAGAGAGAAGGUUUUUGCACCUUUCAAUCAGUUGAGUUGAACAAAUAGACGGAUUCCUUAUCCAGUUCAACCGGUUGAGCCAUUUUUGGCUCAACAAUCAUCAUUUUCAACUUAAAACCUUUUAAACAAGUUUAGAAAGCAUUUGACACAAGGAUUUAGUUGAAAACAUUAAAUCAUCCUAUUUUUAAAAGAUUUAAAACAAAAUACCUCUUGAAUGAUUUUGGUGUAUAAGUAAAUAAUGUAAUGCAUGAAAAACCCAGUGCGCCAACAACCUUACAAAGAGAUCUUAUGAGGCUUAGGUAUUGAAAAACACUUCUCUUUAAGGCAGACAACAUCGUGUGAAUACCAAAGGGGAACUCUACGUUCCUAGGGAAAGAUGCCUCGUCAGUACGUCUUGAGGUUGUUCACUAACUUCGGGGUUACCGGCUUUGAGAGGAGCCCUUUGAUGACAUUUGGGCAUGCAACUCUUCAUUUUCUUCCUUGAUUCGCCUUGUUUGGUGGAUCAAAGAUUGCAUAUGCCAGUCAUUUUUGCACUAGGUUCUCUCCAUGCUUUCACGCCAGCCAAAGUAGCUUUCGUUACCCAUAGUUGAGGAUCGGCUUCUAAAGGGUACUAACAUCCUUAGUCAUUCCCACAGAUGACACCAAUGUUGGUUCUGAGUCGGCUGAAGUCAAAUUCAUCCAACUUAACGGAAGUUUGACAACCUUCCUCCAUUUUUUGUGCCUCUUAGAGAAUCCACCUAGCAGUAAUGAGAUUGGGCGAACUCCUUUCUUGCACAAAAGAAUGUUCAGAUGAGUACUUCGGGUACGCCCUUCGAAGCUUAAGUGAGGCAAAAAUAGCUCAAACUACUUAAUGAGAGAGAGUGGAUAGGUGAAUAUGUGCCUACCUUGUUCGUGCUUUUUGAGGGGUUUAUAUAAUGUUGAUGAGAAUGCCACUAUAGUGCUUACUAGACACUUUAACUUUCUUCUAUAAUGAUGAUUGUCUUGCAGGCGGUUGGGCAAUCAUCAAAAUUUUGGGUGGCUGAUAGGUGCCAUCAACUAACGUGCCAUGAUCUUAGACCAUGCAGUAACCUGUUCCCUCAGUCUGUUGAUGGCCUAAGGUUAUGUGCAACAAUUAAUUGACAUGGACUUGAGGGCUAGAAGAGGUCCCAUCGGCCGUUCACAUGUCAAGUGUGAAUGAUCACUCAUGCUAGUGGGUCUUGAAGAUUUGACUAGACAACCUUACCUAUUUGGGAGGUCCAACCUCCCAUUGCCGUUGUUUUGGCCUUAUAGGAGAAAAGGGCUUUCUCAUGUAUGGUGCUAGAGGGACUAGUCGUGAUCCAGAUGAGUUGCAUACCCAUGCUAGAUGGUCGAAGUGUCCGGGUUGGAAAUGGAGGGAAGCCUCCCACAAAUAUGAGGGAGCCUUAUGAAAACGGAUCCUUAGGGCUUAAGAAGGGGUUUUCAAUUUUAAGGUUUGCCUUUUCACCCAAGGAUGUGAAUGGGAAGAUGAGGCGAAGUUAAAAGAUUGGUGAAGCAAAGUGAGGGCAAGGUAGGGUUUGAAUAAAGGAAAGUAUACACUAUUAAUGAAGAUGAUAAUCUCUAGAAAGAAAAACUAAGGUAAACUAGGGCUUUAAUAAUAAUUUUCAAUCUACACUAGUGAAGAGGAUAUCUUCGAAAACCAAAGUUAGGGCUUCAAUAACGAAUUUCAAUCUACAAUGGUGAAGACAAUAAUCUUCGAAAACCAAAUCUAUAAUGAUGAAGAUGAUUGAAAACUAAAUCUAUACUAGUGAAGACGAUUGGAAAGCAAAUCUACACUGGUGAAGACAAUGAAACCAAAUGUAGGUCUUCUAAACUAAACGCUUUUAAGGAUUUUCCUUUUUUUUUUCCUUUGUUUUCAAGAAAGGCAAACUCUUUAGAAAACUAAAAAAACUAAUGCAUUCUUAGAUCCAGAUCACUAUUUCCAACAUGGUAUUUGGAUUGCCAGCUUGCAUUUUUUAUUUUUUUAUUUUUUUAAUAGUCAUUGGCAUUUUAGGGAUUAUUGAAGGAUAAUAUCAUUCAGCUCAAUUUCCCAAAUUAGUUAGGUCUUACACUCAAAUGUGAAACUUAUAUGGAUGUUAGGCCAAUUAUCAAACUCAUCUGCCCUAAAACAUAAUUUCCCUUUUUUAAAAUAGUUGUUAAACAUCUAUCCCAAACACGUUUAACCCUUUGAAUUGCUUGUAUGUUAACCUUGUUUCCUUUUCUUCAUGCAACAUGGCUUAUUGAUGGUUGCAUUGAAUCAUUAUCAUUCACCAAUUCCAUGCAACUAUGGACUACAUUUCAAAUCCCUCGAACAUAAAUGGUAAUUCCAAAACAACUCAAGUAUAAUCUUUUCAACCCUUUCAAAUGAUUUAAUUAAUUGAUUUUUGAAUAUAUUCAUAUAUUUUUUUGAGCAAUUUUUAGGCAUAUAACAUAAAUCUCUUUUUUAUAUAUAUAUAAAAGGUUUUAUAUUUUAUAUUACAAUUUCCUUUUGUUUUUUCAUCUAAAAAACAAAACAUAAAACCUUAAUAAACGAGUUUUGUCACAAUCCCUUAACAAGUAAUCUAUUUUUUAAAUUACUUUAACAUUUUUAGAUAUAUUGAUUCAAUCUAAUUUACUUUUAAUAUUUUUUAUAAAAUAUUUUUACUUUAUAUGACUAUAAAUUAAUUACUAUUGAUUGCAUAUUAUAGAAUAUAUAUUCUAAAAUAUAUCUUAUUGACAAUAUAAUCAUAAGAUGUUAUAUCCAUAUCCUAACAUAUUAUAUACUUUUAUUUUGUGCAAUUAGCAACAUGGUGGGAAGUGGCAAGCAGCUUAACGGAAAUGUCAUGUGCCAAUGUGCCAUGCGUGUCCCUUCCCUUAGUGAGUCUGAACUGCUCCAACAUUUCCGACAUGUUAUUUUUUACUUAGCUCUUAAGUAUUUUCGUCUCGUUUUCGUUAACCCCAUCACAUUUCGCCACAUGGAUCUAAGCCUCAUGGUCCUUUCGUUCGUACAAUGAAUGUUCCCCCAAUUCCUUAUCUACACUAAAACUCCAUACUCGCCAUCUACUCAACCACUUCUCUACUCUAGAGUUUGGGUCCUUUAUCUCUGCACGUGUCUAUGGCUUUUCACCCCAACAAGUAUGGCAUUACAAGGGCAAUAUCGUCAUUAAAGACCCAAAAGGGAAACCAAUGGCAUUAUCUUCCUUUUGGUCUAUUCUAUUUAUAUUGUAAGUUAUUCGUGAUGACUUCUCCCAUAAAAGCUAAAAACCACUCCAAUAGAGCACACUUCACUUCUUCAUUUUUUUUUUUCCAGAUAAGCUCAGAAAGCCCAGCUCAUCCCUCAACUCCCCGAUGGGUUUGAUGAAUGUUCUUAAAUUCUCAACUGCAUGCUUUGAUCUUCUUAUCUGGUAUAUUGUCCACGCAUUUUCUUGUCAUUGGAAAAUUUUGGAAAAUGAAAUGGAAUUCUAUGUUUGAUGACAAAACUGGGAUUUGCUUUGAUUUCUCCAUGUUGGUUUUAUCCCUUUUGUUUGAAUUGUCCACAUUCUUGUCAUUGGUUGUUAGUUAUUUGUUUGGAUUUCUACUUGUAGGCCUCUGUUUGCACUGGGUUAUCCUCUAUAAAUCUUGGUCUUACACACCAAGAUAUGAUGAUUCAUUUACUCUUUUCUUGUUCUAUGAAUUCUUAGUUCUGUUACAUUUAUUGGGUUGGAAAACUGAAAAAGGAAAGGAUUAUUCGUUAUUAUCAUAAUAAUCAUCAACGUCAUCUCAAUUAUUCACAGAUGUGCAUCAAUUCAGGUAAUUGAGACUAACUCGAUCUCAGACAUUCAGAAGUUGGUGGCAUAUUGGGUUCUAUUUUCCUUGAUUUCACUUUUUGAUCGUACUUUUUCCAAGCUCCUUGAAUGGUAAUUUUGUUCAACUUCAUUCCAUCAUAUGUGGCUCUAUUUGUUUCAUUUCUUUGCCCUUCAGGAAUUUGGAGUUGCCUUUUUUAGUUUUCUUCCCUGUGAAAAUAAUCGAGAUGUUUAAUGUUCCAAGCCUCCAUGUAUUUUAUUUUCCUUCAUUUCUCUGCUUUGAUAAAUCCCCAUGAUUUGAUCAGCAAAAAGGCUAUAACAUUUGACAAAGAAAUGCUUUAUUUUGGUUUUUUAAGUACAACAAUUUUCAUUUGGAGAAAUGGUCUAAAGGGUAUCGGUGUUUGGAUGAAUCAUGGAAUUUUCUCGCUAAUUUGGGAUUUAUUCUCAAUUUCAAUAUCAUUGUGGAUAUUUCAAAAAUUAAUGAAAUAUAUAUGAUGGAAUGUGAUUUUCUUGUUUAAGAAAAGUUUUUCUUUAAAAAUUUAGGUAACCCUGACCUACCUUAUUGUGCUACUCGAAACACAAAACAAAAGUACAAGUAAUUUAGUAACUAAAUUGCACACUUUUUGAUAGUUCAAGGAAGUGGUGUUAGCUUUGGAAAUAAGAUGGAUCUACUAGUUUUUAUUUCUCAUCUUUAUAGGGAACUUUCCAUAAUAUAGCUUAUAAAUACCAUAAUCACAGUGAUGAAUAAUUGUCUUGUUUGAAAGCAUGGUUGCACUUAUUUGCAUGGAAUUUGUCUGCGUUGAAAUUAAAUUAAGCUUUAUGCAUCAUUUGGAUGCUGAGAAACAAAUGAAAAUAGAAAAUUCAAAAUUUGACAAGUUUGUGUAGGGAAAUUGGAUCUAAUCUCUUAAUCGAAGCUUAAUUAGGGCAAAUGUUGAUCCUCUUUGGACCUAUUGAAAGCUCUAAUCUGUGCACAAUUCUAAUGUUUUUGUUUCCUUAAUUUCUUUUUCAACUUUUCAACAAAGCAUCAAUUUGCUAUAAUAAAUGAGAACCAACUUGACGAUGAGAAAAAUGACUGGUGAUGAUGUCAUAGAGAAUCGCAGAUGAGAACAACCAAAAAUACUAGGAUUGGUACCACUGAUGGUAAUGAAGAAAACACAAAAAUGGUGCAAAUGGUGAACAGGAAACUCAAAAUGGAAUGGGAAAAGAAACCUAAACAAUAGUCUCCUAUAUAAAGCACACAACAUGUACAUCGAGGCAUCUGAAAGGACACGCUGCCUGAGAAGUCACUCUAAUUGAUGUGACUCCUCAUGACGUGGGUGGUGGACAUAUGUCCCAUGGUGCCAAAAAUUUCAAACACUCAAGCAACCGAAUACUUUCACUUAGUCAUUUAAAGCCUAGCUAGACUCAAUUGCAAGAAUUAAGGGCAUUGUGGGAUGCUCACCACCGUCUAUCAUGGUCCUCAAACACUGUCUGGUGUGAGACAUAUUGGCACAAGAGCCAUGUAGCUUCUCUAUCCACCCCAAGAUACUCCUAGGGUAGCAAACGAACACAAUCCGACCAAACACUAUGCAUUCCUACCCUACAAGCAUUAAUUUCAAUGAGCAAUAAGUGUAUUAACACAUUAAUGAAUGCAACCGUUAUAACGCUAAAACGCCAUACUUUAAGGUUCAUCAAGACACAACAACCAUUAUGGGCCGACAAUUAUUGGCGUUAAAUAUGGUAAUGCGCAAUCAAAGGCUCAAUUAAGGCCCUUUAGAAGACGUUACUAUUGGGCAAAGAUAAAUAACCAUUUUUUACCACAAGAAAGUCUGAUGCCAUUUUUUUCACAAAAACUUUUGCUUAAGUCUUCCAUCUCUAACCUAAGCUUUGAAGGGGUGUACUUGGAAAACCUAUCCGAACAUUCCUUUAUGUAGGUGCAAUCAUCGUUUAUGUCACGCGAAGGCUAGUCAAAGACCUUUAUUGGUCGUGCACCAAUAAAUCUAUUUAGUAUAUCUCAUUUAUCCGUUCAAGUGAGAUGAAGGAGUGACCUAAAGAUAGAUUGGAAACAUCAUAGUUUCUUAUAUUGGUAAGGCAGCAACAACCUCGGCUAGUGCAUCAACCUGCUCGUUUUCCUCUAGGGGUACGCGUUUGAUAAACCAUUCAUUCAAUUUUUCUGUUCAAGUGUACCAAAGAGAGGUAAUGAGCCAUGCAUUCAUCUCAAGCUUCAUAUUUUAGUUAGAUUUGUUCACCCACUAGUUGUGAAUUGCUUUUGAUUUCUACUUUCAUGGUUGUGAGAGCUAAGGCUAGAUCGUCUCAUAAGAAUUGCUUCAUAUUUUGCCUCAAUAUUAGAUACUGGAAAGUUGAGACAGACGACUUGUUCAAUUUGCUCUCCUGUAAGGAAUUGUUGUGUUAGUCCUAUCCUAGCUUCUGAUGUUCUAGAGGCUUCGUCUACAUGGAGAACACGCCAUUGUUCUUCAUUGUUAGACCUUGUCCAUUUUUGGGGUGGUUCGACUAUGAAAUCAAUGAGAACUUGCUAUUUGAGAUACUAAUGAGGUUUGUACCGUAUGUAAUAUUCACUCAAUUUGAUUGCCCAAUUCACCAUUCGACUAGAUAGAUUUAGCUUGUGCAACGUGACCCACAACGGUUGAUUUGUCAAGACCGUUAUUUGGUGCGCCUGAAAAUAUGGACAAAGCUUCUUGGCAGCGAUCCGUAAGUUCAGAGCCAUUUGUUCCACUUAAGAAUAUCGUGUUUUUGUGUCAAUCAUAGCUUUUCUCACAUAGUAAAUAAGUCUUUGUUCAUUACUCUAAUUGUGUGGAAACAAUAUGACAUUGACAGCAAAGUUUGACACAACCAGGUACAUGUAUAACUCUUCUCUAGCUUCAAGACUACUUAAGAUUGGUGGCUUCGUAAGAUACUGUUUGAUGUCUUUAAAGGCAUGCUCACACUCAUCCAUCUAACUAGACAUCUUUGCUCCCUAGAGUUUGCUCAAGAAAGGUCUGAGCUUAUUUAUGAAGCGUGUUAUGAACCAACCUAAGGUGAUUAGACACCCAGUUAGACGUUGCACUUCCUUCUUGCUAGUAGGAGCAGGGAUUUCUAACACUACUUUCACUUGAGCCAGAUCGACUUCAAUACCCCCUUUGAGUCACCAUGAACACAAGAAACUUCCACUCACUUACUCUAAAUGCAUAUUUUAUUGGAUUAAGCUUCAUGUCAUACCUGCACAUUAAACUGAAUGCUUCUUCCAAAUGGAGGAGCUUCUUGGAACGAGUUAUUCUCUUAAUGACAAUGUCAUCGAUAUAGACUUCCAACGUUCGACCUAUCAAGGGCUUAAAAAUAUGGGUCAUCAACUGUUGGUACGUAGCUCCAAUGUUCAUUAACCCAAGCGACAUGAUCUUGUAAAAGUACAACUCCUUAUGUGUAAUAAAUGUCAUCUUCUCUUUGUCAUGUGGAAACAUUGGUAUCUGGUGGUAUCCAAAAGAAGCAUCAAGAAAAGACAACAUUCCAUGCCUGGUUGUGGCAUCGACUAUCUAAUCUAUCUAGAGCAAUGGGAAGCUAUCUUUCAAGCAGACUUCAUUCAUAUCCACGUAGUCUGCGCACACCUGCCAUUUUUCUCCUUUCUUGGUACCACUACCACAUUUGUUAACUAGUCCAAGUAGGUCACCUCCUUGAUAAAUCUUCCUUUUAAUAGCUUCUCAACUUCUAUCUAGAUAAUUUUUUGAUGAUCCAACUAGAAACGUCAGACUUUAUAUUGUAUGGGUCGUGCUGUAGGAAGAAGGUUCAACUUAUGAGAGCUCACCGCUAGGUCUAUUCCAAGCAUUUCCGAAUGAAUCCACACGAGGAUAUCCUUGUUUUUACAAAGCAUUUCACCAACAUUACCACAUUCAUCCCUAGUUAGCAAAAAAUUAGCGUAAGUCAUCUGCUUAUUAUUUUUCGACAAAGAUAGCUAUUGUAAUAGGCUGAUUGCCAAUGAGUCUCUAUCCUCUAGUUUUCCUUCGACCUAAUUCUAUAAUUGUUAUUAGCUCUCUCUUGAUGAUUUGAGUUCAUCUUUAGUUGGGCCUGAACUCCAUCGCCACUUAGUAACACUACUAGGUGGCUAAUUGGAUUCCAUGUGGAUCCACUUACCCAAAUUCUGUCAGGUAGCUCACCAUCUUAUGAUAGGUGGAUGGAAUAACUUUCAUCUUAUGUAGGUACGACAACCUUAUGAUGGUGUUGUACGACGGUAAAUCCUCUACUAUAGAAAAUCAUACGUUGAGAGUAGGCGGGUUGGCUUGGACAAGAAGUACCACGUCGCAUAGUGAUAUUGUGGCAACCCUAUUAAACCCAAACAAAAGUCGAACUAGAUUUUCUAAGGCAGAUGACGAACAUCCCAUUUUCCUGUAGGUUGACAUAUGCAAUAAAUUGGAAUGAUCAUUUUAGGAAGGAUCACUUGAUUAAUGUUAAUUGAAGGGAAAGUGAUUGGGUCAUUGACUGGUCGGGCACUUUCGACAGUAAAUGUGCACUGAACUGCACUUACUCUUUCCCUCCCUGUAGUCGCACAGAGCAUUCGUCUCCUUUGUUGUUUGGAGUGAUAUUUGUCAUCUACUAUUUCCCCAUGGAUAUAGUUAAUCACUACUCGAUGUGUUGUGGGAGAGUCAGGAACUCACUCUGACACUUCACGUGUCAUUUCUUUAUGUCCACCAGUUGCUCAGACAUACAACUUGAGAUGUCCGGUAAUGAUUAGUUUCUCCACCAAGUAGUGCAAAUUUUUGCACUCUUCUGUGGUGUGCCCAUGCUCCUUAUGAUAGAAUCAUCGCAAUCCUCGAUCAUGCUUGGACGAAUCAGUUUUGAUGGGCUCUAGCCACUUGAACUCGAGCAGCUCUCAAAUCAAGAGGAGAAUUCUAUCAUAAAAAAUGGUCAACGGGGUGAGCCUAGGCGAUUAUCAUUGUUGUUGUCUUUCUUGUCCUUGAUUAGUCUAUCUAGACUGGCUUGAGGGCUUUAAGCUCUUAGCCUUCUUUUUUAAUUGCUCGGUUUAUAACCAGGAUUUGUUGAGAGGUUACCUAAACAUCCUCCUCAAGCAUGACAUGUUUGCCCACUCGUCUAAAUAGGUCAUUCAUUGUAGUGGGCAACUUUUUGGCCAUGGACUUGAAGAAUUGAGUGCUUGGACUGAUGAUCCAUUUGAAGAUCUGCAGGAUAGCAUCCAUGUUGUAAGAUUCCAUCUAGAACACCGCUUGUCUGAAUCACUUCAUGAAGUCCCUUAGCGAUUCAUUCUCCUACAUCUGAAUGUUCUAUAAGGUGCUUAUAUUCUGCUUUUGGCGAGCAAAACAUAAAUAAUGGCCCACAAAGGCCUCUAAAACAUCUGUCAUCUGUUGUUGGAAGUGCAUCAGGUGAACAAAAGAGUCACCAUCCCAUAGUAAAUAGUAAAUUUGGGCACCGGAAACCCCUGGGCAGCUCAUAACUAAUGAUAUGUGGGUCAAACGACAUGAAGAGCAUGUCAUCCAAUCAUCUACUUAUGGAGUCAAGAGGGGCUUUUGUCAAUGGGUUAUUUGUCGAUUGUAGUUCUAGUAUUGAACAUUAAGGCAGACGGCUUGGUGAUGCCUCAUCGUUUGAUUGGCCUAAUUGUGCUUUCAAGGCCUCCAAUAUGCAUGGCGAUGCUAGUGUUCUUCUCUCCUGAUACCCAAGAUAGGCUUUCAGGGCAUCUGAGAGACGUAAGCCCCAUUCUUAACCCAUUUUCCAUUUUUCUCCAAUAGAGCUUGCAACCUCUUUCGCUUGAGUUCGAUCGACUACUGAAUGCACUAGUUCAAGUAAUGUUAGCGAACUGCUAGUAGACAAUCCCUCAUCCACUGUUUGUAGAGACGACUUAGUGUAUCAUUGAAGAACUUUCAUUGUUUGGCUUCAAACUACUCUUGAAGUCGUCUAUUGGUUGGAGGUACGAUGACUUUUUUAUCAGCACCCCAUAGCCACUUGUGCUCGUAGCUCUUGGUUCUCUUGCUGUAGUUGUUCUGCCUGUUGGACAGGGACUACAUAGGUUAUUCAUAUUCUUCUUGCUUUUUUUCUAUCUUUCCUUGCCAAGCUUGGAAUCGCUCGUCAACAUUUGCAGAAUGAGUUGCAGGAGGCGUGUUAACCAUCGUGUUUUUUAGGCAUUUGUGGUUGAUUCCCAUAGACAAUGCCAAUGUUGGUGCACGACCAGUAAAAAAAGGUGUUUGGCUAGUCUCCAUGUAACAUAGAUGACGAUUGCACCUGCACAAAGGAAUGUCUGAAUGGGUUUUUCAGGUACACCUUUCCAAAGCUUAGGUCAGAAAUGGAAGACUUAAGCAAGAGUUUUUGUGGAAAAAUUGGUAGCAUACUUUUCUUGUGGUUAAGAAUAACUAUUUAUCUUUGUCCAACUAUAAUAUCUUCUCAGAUGCCUUAAUUGAGCCUUUGAUUGUGCAUUAUCAUCUUUAAUGUCAAUGAUAGCCAACCCAUAAUGGUUGUUGUGUCUUGAUGAACCUUAAAGGUUGGCGUUUUAACCUCAUAAUGAUUGCAUCCAUCAAUGCGUUAAUGCACUAAUUGCCUAUUGCAAUUAAUGCUUGUUGGGCAAGAAUGCAUAGUGCCCGAUUAGAUUGUGUUUGUUUGGUACCCUAAGAGUACCCUGGGGUGGACAAAAAAGCCACAUGGCUCUUGUUCUAACAUGUCUCGACUAGACAGUGUUUGAGGAUCAUGUUAGAUGGUGAUGAGCAUCCCACAGUGAAGACGUAUGAUGAAAGCAAAGGUAGGGCUUCUAAACCAAACGCUUUUAGGGAUUUUUUUUUUUUUUUCAACAAAGUUGACCUCUUCAAGGAAAAAAAAAAAGGUUAAAAAAACUAUUGCUUUUUUGGAUCCAAAUCACCAUUUCCAAUGUGAUAUUUGGAUUUCCACCAUGUAUUUUUUUUUUUUUUAACAGUCAAGGACAUUUUAUGGAUUAUUGAAAGAUAAUAUCUUUCAACUUAAUUUCCUACAUUAAUUAAGUCUUAGGCUCAAAUGUGAAACUUAAGUGGUUGUUAGGCCAUCAAACCCAUCUGCCCUAAAGUAUAAUUUCCCAUUUUCAAAAUAUAUAGUUGUUAAACAUCUAUCCCAAACUAUUGUAACCCUUUGAAGUGCUUGGUAUGUUAACCUUGUUUCCUUUUCCUUAUGCAACAUGGCUAAUUGAUUGUUGCAUUGAAUCAUUAUCAUUCACCAAAUCCAUUCAACUAUGGACUUACCUUUCAAAUCCCUCUAACAAAAAUGGUAAUUCCAAAACAACUCAAGUCUAAUGUUCUCAACUCUUUCAAAUGAUUUAAUUAAUUGGUGUUUGAAUAUACCUCUUAUAUUUUUUUAGAGCAAUUUUUAGGCACAUAACAUAAAUUUCUAAUUUUUUUUUAGAAAAGGUUUUAUAUUUUAUAUUUUAUAUUACAACUUCCCCUUUUUUUUCCAUCUAAAAAACAAAACAUAAAACCUUAAUAACCGAGUUUUGUCACAAACCCUUAACAAAUAAUCUAUUUUCCAAAAAUUACUUUAACAUCUUUAAACAUAUUGAUUUAGUAUACUUUACUUUUAAUAUUUUUUGAAAAAUAUUUUUAUUUUAUAUGAUUAUUAAUUAAUUAAGAUUGAUUGGGUAUGGUAGAAUAUAUAUUCCAAAAUACAUCGUAUUGAGAACAAUAUCACAAGAUAUUAUAUCCAUAUCUUAACAUAUUAUAUACUUUUAUUUUGUGCAAUUAGCAAUUGGACGGAAGGUAGGGAGCCGGCUUAAUGGAAAUGUCGCAUCUCACGUGUGUCCCUUCCCUUACCAAGUCUCAACAAAGGAUGAAAAUAUCGGUAAUCACGGAUAUAUCGGUACUUCGAUUUUACGGAUAUAUUAGAUAUAUCAGAGAUAUAUUGACGGAUAUUUUGGAAAAAAAUAUCGAUAAGCCUAAAAUUGAUCAAAAUUUAUAAAAAUAUAAAAAAAACUUCAUAAAAAUGUAAUUAAAAGAAGGUCGUAUAAGUUACUCAUGUUGAUCAUGUGAUAUAUCACGAGAUAUAAUCGAUUUUUGGGAAUUUCUCACGAAAAUAUCGCGACAUUUCUUCCUUGUCUCGACUGCUCCAAGAUUUCCUAUACGCCCUUCUUCGCUUAGCUCUUAAGUCUUUUCUUCUCCUCUUCCUCAAACCCAUCACAUUUCGCCGCGUGGAGCUAAGUCUCAAGGUCCUUUUGUUCGUACGAUGUAUGUUCCCCCAAUUCCUCAUCUACCUUGAAACUCCAUACUCGCCAUCUACUCAACCACUUCUCUACUCUAGAGUCUGGAUGCUUUAUCUCCGCGAGUGUCGAUGGCUCUUCACCCCAGCGAGUAUGGAAUUACAAGGGCAAUAUCGUCAUUAAAGACACAACAGGCAAACCAAUGGCAUUGUCUUCCUUUUGGUCUAUUUUAUUUAUGCUGUAAGUAUUCGUGCUUGACUUCUCCCGCGUCUCUUAUAAAAACUAAAGAAAACCACUCCAACAGAGCACACUUCAAGAAUCUUCUUUUUUUUUUUCUUUCCUCUUUCUCUUUACAUAUAUACUGAGAAAGCCCAGCUCAUCCCUCAAUUCCCAGAUGGGUUUUAUGAAUGUUCUCAAGUUCUCAGCUGCAUGCUUUGAUAUUCUUGCCUGGUAUGUUGUCCACGCAUUUUCUCGCCAUUGGAAAUUUUUGGAAAAUGAAGUGGAAUUCUCUGUUUGAGGACAAACAUGGGAUUUUCUUUGAUUUCUCCCUGUUGGUUUUAUCUAUAUUCUUUGGAUUACCCACAUUCUUGUCAUUGAUUGUUAGUCAUUUGUUUGGAUUUCUACUUGCAGGCCUCUAUUUGCACUGGGUUAUCCUCUGUAAGUCUUGGUCUUACACCUCAAGAUAUGAUGAUUCAUUUACUCUUUUCUUGUUCUACGAAUAGUUCAGUUACAUUUAUUGUGUUGGGAAACUGAAAAGGGAAAGGAUUAUUCUUUAUUAUCGUAAUAAUCAUCAACAUCAUCUCGGUUCUUCACAGAUGUUCUUCAAUUCGGGCAAUUGAGACUAACUCAAUCUCAGACUUUCGGAAGUUGGUGGCGUAUUGGGUUCUAUUUUCCUUGAUUUCACUCUUUGAUCAUGCUUUUUCCAAGCUCCUUGAAUGGUAAUUUUGCUCAACUGCGUUCCACUAUAUGUGACUCUGUUUGUUUCAUUUCUUUGCCCUUAAGGAAUUUGGAGUUGCUUUUUUCAGUUUUCUUUCCUAUGAAAAUAAUCGAGAUGUUUAAUGUUCCAGGCCUCCAUGUAUUUUAUAUUCCUUCAUUUCUCUGCUUUGACAAAUGCUCACAAUCUGAUCAGCAGAAAGGUUAUAACAUUUGAAAAAGAAGUGGUUUAUUUUUGUUUUUUUUAAGUACAAUAAUUUUCGUUUGGAUAAAUGGUCUGAAGGGUGUUUGUGUUUGGCUGAGUUCAUGGAAUUUUCAAGCUAAUUUGGGAUUUAUUCUCAAUUUCAAGAUCAUUGUGGAUAUGUCAGAAAUUAAUGAAAUAUAAAUGGUGGAAUGUGAUUUUCUUGUUUAAGAAAAGUUUUUCUUUGAAAAUGCGGGUGCACCAGACCUACCUUAUUGNNNNNNNNNNNNNNNNNNNNNNNNNNNNNNNNNNNNNNNNNNNNNNNNNNNAUCAGAUUCAACUGUGAUAGCCCGGAAUUUAAUUCAGUAUUCGACUCUUCUGGGAACAUGUUGGUUAUGGUUUCUCUCUCACUGUCCUCUUCUUUACACAUGACUUUUCAGUUGAGGAGCACAAAGCCUAAUGUUGAAGUGAAAGAGAUCAAAGCACCUGCAGCACCGGAGAAAAAAGGGGAACAGGUAAGUACUCUAAUGUGGCUAUUUAAUUUCUAUGGAGGCAGAUCCCCAGAGAAAUGCUGUUCAUGUAAAUUACUGAUGCAUUUGAUUCAAUGGCCACGGUUUUAAAAGAAAAACCACUUUAUGUAUGUUUCUGUGAAUGAGAGAACAAGUUUAUGGAUUAAAUGAUAUUUUUUAUGGUGAAAUAAUCAAUAAUUUUCAAAAUAAUAAUACAUUCCUGCAUGUUUUUGCAAUUCAUGAAUUCCUUUUAUGAUUGAUUCUUCUCACCUUUUUUCUCACCUCAGUGGAAGUGUGAAGAGCCUAAUGUUGCUCAAAAAGAGAUCCAAGUAGUCAAAGUAACAGAGAUAAAAAAUGGGGGGGAUGGAGCAAAGAGGGUAAGUUUUGCUUUUUAUUUAUAAAGUAGGCUGUCUUCACACAAGGAUUAUUAUUAUUAUUAUUGUUAUUAUUUUAAGACAUGAAUGUUGAAUGAUUUUGGAAUUGUCCUUGAAUCAUGUGAAGUGUGAAUGGUCUAAUGCUGCUAAGGAGGAGGUCAAAGUGACAGAAGUAACACAGAGAACAUUUGGUGGUACAGCACAGUGGGUAAGGUUUCAUGUCAUAUUUAAAUGGCUCCUCAUAUUUCACUAGGAUUAAUUUUGCCCCUACAAACUAUUUGGCUACAAGUUAAGACAGAGUUCCAGAUGCUGAUAAAGCUGAGACAUAAGUAAUGAACGAAUUUAGACACAUGCACAACUCUUGUGUGAAACACAAUGAGAGUGGAAAAUAGCUAAGUUGAAAAAUGGCCAAAUACUAUUUUGUAGUUCCCCCUACCACUUAAGUAAUUUUUGUCAUCCUUUGUGAAUGGAAAAUGCAGUCCCUUCAGUAAUUCCAUUAUAUUCAUGACUUGGUGAAGCAUAUAACCAUUAGUGUCUUACCCUAAGUCGACCUUUAAUGAUGAUCCAUUGAGAUGGGUCUGACUUUUGUCAACCCUCUUAUUCCCUUGAUCAUAGAGGUGAAACUUAGGGGGCUUAACCCACUUUUCAAUCUUAUUGGAUAUAUGGCACGUGGUAUCCUCUUCAUCUUGAAAGAGUGAAGUGGUCAUACUCUUUCCUCUGAGUCCAUUGUGGCCAUGCACUUCAGGCUCAUUGGGCUGAGUGAAAGGAUUCCCUUCUGCUUCAAAUCAUAGAGAGAUAUGCCAUGGUCAGCCUCUUUAAUUCAAGGGAUUGAAGUACUCAAAUCCAUUUCUCUGUAUCCAUCUUAGUUCUGCAUUCAUGUCUCAUGGUUAACCAAGAAGAUCCAGCCUCCAUCCAUGAGAUCAGCAUCUGCAGGUUUAUGACACCACCCUUCCUUUGCAUAGGAAAGGGAUCAUUAAGCCAUGUGUCGGAUGACAGAAGUCAUCAUUCAGGUUAUCUUGAGAACUAAGGAAGUUGGAAUUCUAAUUAUUGCAUAUGGUUCUUGAUGUUUAGCCAAUAUACUAUAGGAUUUUAAGCAUCAUGCUCACGUGCAUUGUGGUUGCUUAUCAGCUAUAUGGUUUGCCAAAAUGAGGGACUGAUUAUGGUCAUAAGUACCUUUUUCCCAUUAAUUUCUUGCAUGUGCUCUGCUGAGAUUAUGUUUUUGACAGUCCAAAUCAGGGCAAACCAACAAACAGCUUUAUGUUAACUUUUACAAACUGCCAUAUUUUCAGGUUAAACAAACAGAGAUAAAUCUUGGUGAAACUAGAAGUAAUACAACCUGUGCUGUGGAGAUAAAAGAAAGGGCAGCAGCACUGGUGGCUGCAGAAAUUGAGGCAUGUAGAGACGAUAGAACCCCCAAGAUACCUCUUCAUGAGAAAGUCCAGAAAGAGUGGGCUUGUGCUGUGUGCCAGUUCACAACCCAAACUGAAGCGACCUUCAAUUCCCACCUUCAAGGGAAGAGACAUCAGGCCAUUUCUGAGCAGCUGAGAGCCAAAAAUCAGGCAACCAAAACCAAUUGUUCCCCAUCUGCUUCAAUGGCCAAGAAAUCUGAUCAGUCCACCAAAGAGGAGCAACCGAAGUGUACUUCCAAUCUGAAUUCCAAAAACAAUGGAAUCUCAGCUGCUUCAACAGUGAAGAAACUUGAUGAGACCAAAGAUGAUGAGCAACAAAAGUCUGCAUCUAGCAAUGGACCGAACCAGAAGAAUAACAAAAAGCAAGAGGUACAGACCAAUGAGCAAGGCCGUCAGAAGAACUUAAGGCAAACUGGUGAUGGAAUGAAAGAGUUGAGAUCAUGGUGCAAUAUCUGUAAUGUAAGCUGCACAAGGGAGCUUGACCUGGCCUCGCAUCUCAAUGGAAGGAGGCACUUUGAUAGGAUAAAGCAGCUGUCUGAAUUAUGGUGCAGUAACUGCAAUGUAAGGUGCAACAGUGAGGUUGAUAUGGCCUCUCACCGAAAUGGGAGGAGGCACUUGGAGCAGCUGAAGGAACGGUUAGGAUUAUGGUGCAGUAUCUGUAGUGUGAGUUGCAACAGCAAGGUGGACAUGGAUUCUCACCUAAAUGGGAAGAUUCACUUGGAUCAGAUCAAGGACCAGUUAAGAUUAUGGUGUGGGGCAUGUAAUACAAC
rnacentral:lncRNA from 1 species